CUCCCAUCUCCACUGCUCGUUGCGGCGGCUGCAGGCAGCCGCCGCGUCCGCGUAGCUUCCUCCUCCUCCAGAUCUGCACCUUCGUCCAGCCUCCUCCAUGUUCUUCCCUUUCCCAUGGAGAGUGAAGCUCGCGGCCGUGAGAGCGCCUGUGCAUGGGGCGUUCCGGUCUACGGUGGCCAGACCGUGGAGCCUGGGUACAUGAGAUCGAGGCUUCUUGAUGCACAGAUUGUACUAUAGUGUUACUAACGUUCAAGUCUACUGCAUGUAUAUUUAGCUAAUGAUUCUGCUAGACUUUUAUAUUCUAGUUUAUUUCAAUAUUUGUGUAAAUUUCAGUUAAAUUCGUUUCAAAUUUCAAGUUUUGGUUUGUCAUUUUCGUCCGAAUUUCGCCCAUUUCGUCCAAGCCCGGUAAAUUUUGCAAAACGAAAUCCAAAUCCUUGGGAAGGAGCGGUCGCUGGCGAGCCGGCAGAAGGAGACUCAGGCCGCGGAGGCGCGGGCGAGGUCGGCCGAGUCGGGCAGCCGGAGGAAGAUCUCCGUGAGGAGGUGGUCAGGAUGUCCGUCAGAGGCGACGAAAUUUUCUUGCUGGUCGCCAUUGGUGUGAUGUUGGGAGGAGCGUAGGUUGUAGGAGGCAGCCGCGGAAACCCUCGACGAGAUGGGAGCUGGGAGGGGAUGAGAAGGAGCCGUCGGCUGCGUGCGGCUGGGAGAGCGACUCGUGUGCCGGCUGCCAAAAUGGGCCUUAACCGGACGGUGACAACGAGCUUGGUUUUCAGGCGCGGCCUUCUUUACCAGUCUGAGCCUACCCAAAAACUGUUCAAACUUGAGCAGCAUUCUUUAUUUCUUUUGGGGAAAGAUAACUGCUUCAUCCGUUCCAAAUUAAUCAAAGCUAUUGAUUUUCCCUAAAUCAAUUUUGUUUAACUUUUACUUCCCCGCAAAAAAAAACUUUUACCAGGACAUAUAAAACAUCUAGAACACCAAAUUAGCUUCAUUCAGUUCUCUAUAAAAUAAUUUUUCGUGCUGUACAUUUUUUAUGUGCUUGAUCUUGGCACUUUUUUGAACAACUGAGCUUGCCAGAUGUAAGUGAUGAUAAUGGAAGACCAGUUGUACAUCAAUAGCACAGUCGCUACCAUAGGUCCUCCGGUAUUAGUAAUUGGUUGAGAUCAGGAUCGUGACAAGAUCAUAGCAAUGCUUCAUGAGUUUGGAUUUAAAUCCCUUUCAUGUCUCAAUUUUAUAUUUUUGUGUUCAAAUGUUAAUGCAAGUAUUAGCAGUUAGGAUUGCUGCUAUGUUUCCGAUUCAUUUGCCCUGAUGUGGAGUCGAAAUUACACUUGCCCCCGAAUCCCCAGGUAGACAUUUCCAAGUCCACACAUACUCCUCUUCAUCUAGUUUUAGCUACUAGCUAGGUUUGUUGAUUCCUGUGCGUGUUUGCGAGGGAAUUGAUCUGCGUGUCAUAAACUACAGACAAUGGAAAAUGCCAUGAACACUAGAUUUAGUCGUUUGCUAUGGUGGUACGUAAUAACGUGGAAUGAUGGAACACUGGAUUUUUUUGCUUCAUCGGUAUGAUUUGUAACACUGUCGAAUGCUGACCAUGAAAUUGUCCAAUUCCUAUUGUCUGUAAUAGUACUAUGAUGAAACUGAAUUUCUUUGGUUCAUGUCAUUUGUAACAUUGUCGAAUGAUGGACACCAAGCUAUUUGAUUGCUAUAAGAUUGAGCCCAUUCCUGUGAUGAAGUGGUAAUUGCUGUAGUCUGUGCUUUCCUUGGGUGUUAGUUAAAUCCUUAUAGUUUGUUGUUAUUGUUCAUUGUAAUUUGGGACUGAAAACAAUACUGAUGUCAAGCAUGCAGAGCAGCAGACAGUAAACCUAUCUGUAGUGACGUUGGCAGUAUUUACUUAGUAUGCUACUGUACUACUACUUCCAUUUCUAAUUAUAAGUUUUCUUUCAUGGUAUUUAGGAAUGGAGGUAGUAUAUAUGUCAGUCAUGUUUAGCACAACUUAACCCUGUUUCAAAAGUUUUGCACGAGGGUCGGAUCAUGACAAACUUUUGAAAUGGGGUCAAAUCGUGCUGAACUUCUUCCACAAGGUUAAAACACUCAUUUUGGUUGGUUACUUUGUCAUGUCUAGUUAAGAAAAAUAAGUUGGGACUUGCAGAUAUACAGCAGCAGCAAGAUUUACCCACAGCUCUUGAUUGACUUAAACUGUUAAUUUCAUUGUCUGAUUCACUUAUUAGGCUGAGCAGCCAGAUCCAUCUCCCACUAACAUCACUGCAAAUAGGGUUUACUCCACGCCUACAAGUAACAUAAAAACAAGACAUGAUCACUGUCAGAUAGAAUUCUGGAGAUUGUCAGCAAGGCUAUCACAUCCGCAAGGAGCCAAGGACUCCAUGCUAUCGAAACUGCGGUCGCUUUGAACUCGUAGAGCUGAUAUGGUGACGACUCCACAGAACCUGGACAAACAAGACCAAAAUACAACUCAGACAUCACUGAAGAUUUUGUGGCCAAUUGUUGAAUACUAAAUCAAUAGUUUAUAAUGAGCUUAAAGGAACAAAGUCUUAGAGCAUCCCUAGUAGACCCCUUACAUCGUGUCGAAUUGUGAAAUAACCGCAAGUCUACAGUUUUGCGCGAAAAAAGUGGCCCAAAUAGAUAAAGUAACGGACCGUGGCCUUUAAAAAAAUUUGCGGGGCGCGGCAAAGUCUCCCCCCCUCCCCAACCUUUAGAAACACGGGGCGGGAGACCAACCCGAGGGUGACCCCUAUAGCUAGUGAGAUUUUGCGGGAGGAACAUUUCCCCACGGCAGUUCCCGCUCUCCCUUCCCUCCGCCGCAAUAGAUCUUCAUUCGCCCGCUCCGGACCACCUUCUUCAGCUCUGUAGCGUCGCCAUGGAUGCCUCCCAGACGUCGCCCAUCACCGUGGAAGUCAUGGACGCGUCAAGUCCUCAAGCAGAUCUCGUCGCCGACCAUGUCGUGCCCGUCGCCGUUCAAGCCUCCACCGCCCAUCCCCGCAAGCGCCACCACCCCCCAUCCCCGCAAGCGCCAGGGCAACUUCGUUGUACAGAGUGACGCUCCCGCAGCCGCCACCGGGAAGGCACACGCGCCUGUCGUCGUAGCCGCUGCGAAUCUGGUCCAGGCCGUCCCCACUCCGCCGGUGAAGAUGCACAAGGUUGCGGGGGUGAAACGCAAGAAGGCGGCAAAAAAAGGUAUUGCGAGCACCGCGCCACCACCUCCUCUGAUCGUCACCGCAAGAGCCUCCCCGAGGACGCCCGCCGACGACGCUGCUGCCGCCGCCCUCGAGGUGUUCGACGAAAUGGGUGCAAGGUAUGGAACUUUGAUUUUCUUCUAGGUGUUUUCACUUUUCACCAUUGCGAUUGUUCAUGACUUGUGGAGAAAAAUUAUAGCGCCGAUUUGCAUGAUCCGACUGCUGAGUUUGUGCACAUGUUGGACAACAAUGCCGUUGACAUUUGUCAAGCCCCGAUCGGUGAUUACGGCUACAAUGAGAUGGAUGGUGGUGUGGACAGUCAUGGUGAGGAAGAAGAUGAGAUGGAGGAGAUUAGGGAGGGGGUGUUCGACCAAGUGCAAGCAAAAGUGCCCGCGAGAUAAAAAAAACUACACGCAAUUGGAAGAUCAAGUCAUGAUCAAGGCUUGGGAAUCUUUUUUUCUUGCUGCAUGCACUGACACAGACCAAACCGGCAAGCGGUAUUAGCAAAGGAUAGAGGACCAGUUCUCAAGAUAGAUGCCAUGGUGCAAUUAAAUGAGUUGAUGGUGGCCGAGACAUUGGAGGCAAAGAAGGAGUUGGCCGACGAGAAGGCGUAAGAGAAGCAAGAAAAGUGGCAAUUAGUCAAGGAAGAGGGGUUGCACAAGGCCGUCAUUGAGGAGAGAAGUCCCCUUGCGGAGGAGAACAAGGCCUUGGCCUAGCUUCUUCAAGAGGAGAACAAGAUCAUGACGAUGAACCGCAAUGACAUGUACGACAUCUCCAAAGAAUGACAUGAUAUUGCUAGGCGGACGACGCUCAUUAGUACCGGUUCGUGGCUAACCUGUAGUAUCGGUUCGUGCCACGAACCGGUACUAAUGAGGUGGUGGCAGGCUGGUGUGAGGCUGCGGCCCCACCAUCACCUCUAGUACCGGUUCAUGCCACGAACCGGGACUAAAACUUCACCUUUAGUCCCGGUUCGUCAAACAAACCGGUACUAAAGAUCUUCCUAUAUAAACCCCUUCGUCCAGCCCGAGCACUCUGUUCUCCCCCUUUCCUCUCCACUUUUUCUUCCUCUUCCUCUCAAGCUCAUACACUACUGGAAAUAGCUUCUUUGCCGUCCGCCAUGGCAGACGGCAAAGGCAUAGAUCCCGGACGGCAAACAUCUUUGUCGUCCGCCAGCAGACGGCAAACUGUCCGUCUGAACAGGUGCCAGCAAAGGCCUUCUUUGUCGUCCGCUUUUGAGAAACUGACGACAAACGAUUGUGUUGUCCGCCAUCUGAGGCCAACAGACGGCACAGACUAGGAUGACAGUGGGGUGGCGUCAGAGCCGUUAGGGCGUUAACGACGCUCUUUGCCGUCCGCCAGCAGACGUCAACGAUUCAAAUGUCUUUGCCGUCCGCUAGCAGACGGCAUAGCUGACCAAAUAGGCAGCCAGUGUUGCCAGUGUCUACAGGAAGCUGCCACGUGUACUCUUUGCCGUCUGCUAGCAGACGACAAAGAGGCUAUAUAUCCCCUGUUUGCAUUUAUAUCCAUUUAAUUUCACUGGAAUUCAGACACAGAUAUACAUAUUUUUUUUCACUGGCACAACAGACAUAUGAUCUAUGCAACACAUAUAUAGCUCCAUCCAUGACAACAUAUAUACAUACAUAAGAAACAUAGUAUCAUCCAUACAUCUUACACUACUAUCACAAUAUUCAUCCAACACAUUGUUCCAUGCAUCCAUAUAACAAGUUCCACAUUAUUCUUCGAUAAAAACAAAAAGAAAAACAGAGAAACAAGCACUCCAUCCAUGCAAGCUUCCAUAUAGUGAAUUAAAUCUGCAAAAUGGGAAACAAGAAAGUUAGAAGAAGAAGAGGAAGAAAACUAGAAGAAGAAGAAGAAGAAGAAGGAGAAGAAGGAGAAGAAGACUAGAAGAAGGAGAUCUUGAUUUUCUUCAUCUUAUUAUGUCAUUUGUGGACUAAAUAGGCUAAAUUAUGUCAUAAAUGGACUAAAUAGGCUAAAUAAGAAGAAAAAUUCCAUUUUUGAGAUAACGUAGCAAAUUAUGCCAUUUUUGACCUAACUAAGCUUAUUGUUUCAUUUUAGAGGACACCAAGGUAAGUAUAUGACAUUUAUGAGGUUAGCAAGGUUAUGAUGCCAUUUACGAAUAAAAACAAGUAAGAGGAGGAAAAGAAGAAGAACAGAAGAACAAGAAGAAGAAGAAGUUCUUCUUCUUUUCUUCAUCAUCAUCUUCUUCUUCUUCUUUUCUUCCUAUUCCUUCUUUCCAUCCUUUUCCUUGAUUUUCUUCAUCUUAUUAUGCCAUUUGUGGACUAAAUAGGCUAAAUUAUGUCAUAAAUGGUCUAAAUAGGCUAAAUAAGAAGAAAAAUGCCAUUUUUGAGCUAAGUAGCAAAUUAUGCCAUUUUUGACCUAACUAAGCUUAUUGCGUCAUUUUAGAGGGCAACAAGCUAAGUAUAUGACAUUUAUGAGGUUAGCAAGGUUAUGAUGCCAUUUACAAAUAAAAACAAGUAAGAGGAGGAAAAGAAGAAGAAGAAGAAGAAGAAGAUGAUGAUGAAGAAAAGAAGAAGAAGAAUCUUCUUCUUCUUCUUCUUUUCUUCCUAUUCCUUCUUUCCUUCCUCUUCCUUGAUUUUCUUCAUCUUAUUAUGUCAUUUGUGGACUAAAUAGGCCAAAUUAUGUCAUAAAUGGACUAAAUAGGCUAAAUAAAAAGAGAAAUGCCAUUUUUUAGCUAACGUAGCAAAUGAUGCCAUUUUCGACCUAACUAAGCUUAUUGUGUCAUUUUAGAGGACAACAAGCUAAGUAUAUGACAUUUAUGAGGUUAGCAAGGUUAUGAUGCCAUUUACGGAUAAAAUCAAGUAAGAGGAGGAAAAGAAGAAGAAGAAGAAGAAGAAGAAGAAGAAGAAGAAAAGAAGAAGAAGAAGAAGAAGAAGAUGAAAAGAAGAAGAAGAAGAAGAAGUAGAACUUCUUCUUCUUCUUUUCUUUCUAUUCCUUCUCUCCUUCCUCUUCCUUUAUUUUCUUCAUCUUAUUAUGUCAUUUGUGGACUAAAUAAGCUAAAUUAUGUACGAAAUGGACUAAACAGGCUAAAUAAGAAGAAAAAUACCGUUAUCACAGAGGUGUAGGAAUGGUCGGGGCUGCGCCAUUGUUGGCAGACGGAGGUGCAGGACCGGUCGAGGUUCCGGCAUUGGCAGACGAGGAAGGAUUGGUCGAUGCUUGUCGGGAGCCAUGCUGAACCAAAGAUCAUUUCCAAUAAUGUCUCAAUAGCGUGAUGCAAACUGAAAUGUGAAUAGUAGUAACUAAAGACCAUUCAAAUCAAACUCCCAAUAGUCCAUCUUAUCGACACACCAUCUCGGGGGCACCUAAGUGAGUCAAGGGAAAUUUGAGCGCUACGAAUCAAAUCAAGAAAACUAAGUUCAAGGCCUUAAGAAUAGGUAUAAUUACCGACAAGUACUUCUCCCUACUUAGAAACUUGCUGCGACACUUCUUCUUGGCCCUCCUAAUACCCUGCGAGGCGUAGUAGUCUCGAACGGCCUGCACCCGAGCCUCGUGAUGUACGUUCUGAAGUAGGCGCUUACACUCGGCUUUGACAACCAUAGCCAGGGCCUCCUGUUCUCCCUCUGAAACCCUGUAGAAGGUCUGCAAUCAAAGAAGACAACAAUGAUUAGUACAAUCACUAGGUAGGUAGUGUUCAUUUUUAAUUCUCUAAAGGAGAAAUUACCCAAAAUCUACGGAACACAAUGUCGGCCACCGUCUCGCACGCGACACCGACCUCUCCCGACCUCCCCCGACCUCUCCCAGCCGAAGUAGAAGCGCCCACUGCAGUUGUCUGCAUACUAUCUAGCAGCGCUCUCCGGAGGGGCUGGGGUGCAAUAAUGGAACCACCCCUGACAGUAGCGCUCGCAGGAGGCUCGCGGCGCUCUGGACCCUUGCCCACCAUCCUGUCAACACCUGCCAUGAUAAAAAGUAAACGACCGGGGUGUAUAUAAUUUAAGUGUAUCAUCAUCAUGAACAUAAUAAUAUGUAUAUAAUUUAAGUGUAUCAUCAUCAUGAACAUAAUAAAAAUACACCCGAACAACACAAAUAUAUAUGAUGUUUUUGUAUCAUCAUCAUGUUCUUCUUCUUCUUUUUCCCCCUUCUAGUUAUUCUACUUUUCUUCUUCUUUUUUCAUGUUUUUUCACUUCCUUUAAUUAUGACUAUUUAACUAAAACCUAACACUAGUAUAAUAUAAUCUAAUCUUAUUAAUCUAACCUAGCUAACUAUAUAACCUAAACGUAAACUACAAACCUAAACUAAUUAAAACUAAACUAUUUAAACUAAUUAAACCUAAACUAAUUAAACUAAAUAACCUAAACUGAAAAAACUUAAACUAAAAAACCUAAUCUAAACAGAAAAAACAGAAAAGAAAAUAGGACAGCUGGGGUGGCAGGGGCUCACCGUGGGGGGCGGCGACGGGUCGGGGAGGGGGCGGCGACGGGGCGGCAGUGAGGCAGGGCGGCGAUGGGCGGGGUGUUGGGGAUCGUUGCAGAAAUUAAAAUUUUCUACGCAUCACCAAGAACAAUCUAUGGAGUCUUCUAGCAACGAGAGGGAAAAGAGUGCAUCUACAUACCCUUGUAGAUCGCGAGCGGAAGCGUUCAAGUGAACGGGUUGAUGGAGUUGUACUCGUCGUGAUCCAAAUCACUGAUGACCGAGCGCCGAACGGACGGCACCUCCGCGUUCAACACACGUACGGUUGGGGAAGACGUCUCCUCCUUCUUGAUCCAGCAAGGGGGAGGGAGAGGUUGAUGGAGAUCCAGCAGCACGACGGCGUGGUGGUGGAAGCAGCGGGGAUCUCGGCAUGGCUUCGCCAAGCUCAGCGAGAGGGAGAGGUGUCACGGGAGGGAGAGGGAGGCACCAGGAGCUGUGGUGUGGCUGCCCCUCCCUCCCCCUUCCUAUAUAUAGCCCCCCUGGGGGGGCGCCGGCCCUAGGAGAUCUGAUCUCCAAGGGGGGCGACAGCCAAGGGGUGGCUUCCCCGCCAAGCCAAGUGGGGCGCGCCCCCACCCCUAGGGUUUCCAACCCUAGGCGCAGGGAAGGCCCAAGGGGGGGGGGGGCGCACCAGCCCACCAGGGGCUGGUUCCCCUCCCACUUCAGCCCAUGGGGCCCUCCGGGAUAGGUGGCCCCACCCAGUGGACCCCCUGGACCCUUCCGGUGGUCCCGGUAUAAUACCGGUGACCCCCGAAACUUUCCCGGUGGCCGAAACUGGACUUCCUAUAUAUAAUUCUUCACCUCCGGACAACUCCGGAACUCCUCGUGACGUCCGGGAUCUCAUCCGGGACUCCGAACAACUUUUGGGUUACCGCAUACUAAAAUCUCUACAACCCUAGCGUCACCGAACCUUAAGUGUGUAGACCCUACGGGUUCGGGAGACAUGCAAACAUGACCGAGACGACUCUCUGGUCAAUAACCAACAGCGGGAUCUGGAUACCCAUGUUGGCUCCCACAUGUUCCACGCAUCUCAUCGGAUGAACCACAAUGUCGAGGAUUCAAUCAAUCACGUAUACAAUUCCCUUUGUCAAUCGGUACGUUACUUGCCCGAGAUUCGAUCAUCGUUAUCCCAAUACCUCGUUCAAUCUCGUUACCGGCAAGUCACUUUACUCGUACCGUAAUGCAUGAUCCCGUGACCAACCACUUGGUCACUUUGAGCUCAUUAUGAUGAUGCAUUACCGAGUGGGCCCAGAGAUACCUCUCCGUCCUACGGAGUGACAAAUCCCAGUCUCGAUCCGUGUCAACCCAACAGACACUUUCAGAGAUACCUGUAGUGUACCUUUAUAGUCACCCAGUUACGUUGUGACGUUUGGUACACCCAAAGCACUCCUACGGCAUCCGGGAGUUACACGAUCUCAUGGUCUAAGGAAAUGAUACUUGACAUUGGAAAAGCUCUAGCAAACGAAAUACACGAUCUUGUGCUAUGCUUAGGAUUGGGUCAUGUCCAUCACAUCAUUCUCCUAAUGAUGUGAUCCCGUUAUCAAUGACAUCCAAUGUCCAUACUCAGGAAACCAUGACCAUCUGUUGAUCAACGAGCUAGUCAACUAGAGGCUCACUAGGAACUCCUCGUGACGUCCGGGAUCUCAUCUGGGACUCCGAACAACUUUCGGGUUACCACAUACUAAUAUCUUUACAACCCUAGCGUCACCGAACCUUAAGUGUGUAGACCCUACGGGUUCGGGAGACAUGCAGACAUGACCGAGACGACUCUCCGGUCAAUAACCAACAGCGGGAUCUGGAUACCCAUGUUGGCUCCCAAAUUUUCCACGAUGAUCUCAUCGGAUGAACCACGAUGUCGAGGAUUCAAUCAAUCCCGUAUACAAUUCCCUUUGUCAAUCGGUACGUUACUUGCCCGAGAUUCUAUCGUCGGUAUCCCAAUACCUCAUUCAAUCUCGUUACCGGCAAGUCACUUUACUUGUACCGUAAUGCAUGAUCCCGUGACCAACCACUUGGUCACUUUGAGCUCAUUAUGAUGAUGCAUUACCGAGUGGGCCCAGAGAUACCUCUCCGUCAUACGGAGUGACAAAUCCCAGUCUCGAUCCGUGUCAACCCAACAGACACUUUUAGAGAUACCUAUAGUGUACCUUUAUAGUCAGCCAGUUACGUUGUGACGUUUGGUACACCCAAAGCACUCCUACGGCAUCCGGGAGUUACACGAUCUCAUGGUCUAAGGAAAUGAUACUUGACAUUGGAAAAGCUCUAGCAAACGAACUACACGAUCUUGUGCUAUGCUUAGGAUUGGGUCUUGUCCAUCACAUCAUUCUCCUAAUGAUGUGAUCCCGUUAUCAAUGACAUCCAAUGUCCAUAGUCAGGAAACCAUGACCAUCUGUUGAUCAACGAGCUAGUCAACUAGAGGCUCACUAGGGACAUGUUGUGGUCUAUGUAUUCACACAUGUAUUACGAUUUCCGGAUAACACAAUUAUAGCAUGAACAAUAGACAAUUAUCAUGAACAAGAAAAUAUAAUAAUAACCAUUUUAUUAUUGCCUCUAGGGCAUAUUUCCAACAGUCUCCCACUUGCACUAGAGUCAAUAAUCUAGUUACAUUGUGAUGAAUCGAACACCCAUAGAGUUCUGGUGUUGAUCAUGUUUUGCUCUAGGGAGAGGUUUAGUCAACGGAUCUGCUACAUUCAGGUCCGUAUGUACUUUACAAAUAUCUAUGUCUCCAUUUUGAACAUUUUCACGAAUGGAGUUGAAGUGACGCUUGAUAUGCCUGGUCUUCCUGUGAAACCUGGGCUCCUUAGCAAGGGCAAUAGCUCCAGUGUUGUCACAGAAGAGAGUCAUCAGGCCCGACGCAUUGGGAAUCACCCCUAGGUCGGUAAUGAACUCCUUCAUCCAGAUUGCUUCUUGUGCUGCCUCUGAGGCCGCCAUGUACUCCGCUUCACAUGUAGAUCCCGCCACGACGCUUUGCUUGCAACUGCACCAGCUUACUGCCCCACCAUUCAAAAUAUACACGUAUCCGGUUUGUGACUUAGAGUCAUCCAGAUCUGUGUCGAAGCUAGCAUCGACGUAACCCUUUACGACGAGCUCUUCGUCACCUCCAUAAACGAGAAACAUAUCCUUAGUCCUCUUCAGGUACUUCAGGAUAUUCUUGACCGCUGUCCAGUGUUCCAUGCCGGGAUUACUUUGGUACCUUCCUACCAAACUUACGGCAAGGUUUACAUCAGGUCUGGUACACAGCAUGGCAUACAUAAUAGACCCUAUGGCCGAGGCAUAGGGGAUGACACUCAUCUUUUCUCUAUCUUCUGCCGUGGUCGGGCAUUGAGCCGUGCUCAAUUGCACACCUUGCAAUACACGCAAGAACCCCUUCUUGGACUGAUCCAUAUUGAACUUCUUCAAUAUCUUGUCAAGGUAUGUACUUUGUGAAAAACCAAUGAGGCGUCUUGAUCUAUCUCUAUAGAUCUUGUUGCCUAAUAUAUAAGCAGCUUCUCCAAGGUCCUUCAUUGAAAAACACUUAUUCAAAUAGGCCUUUAUACUUUCCAAGAAUUCUAUAUCAUUUCCCAUCAACAGUAUGUCAUCCACAUAUAAUAUGAGAAAUGCUACAGAGCUCCCACUCACUUUCUUGUAAACACAGGCUUCUCCAUAAGUCUGUGUAAACCCAAAUGCUUUGAUCAUCUCAUCAAAGCGAAUGUUCCAACUCCGAGAUGCUUGCACCAGCCCAUAGAUGGAGCGCUGGAGCUUGCAUACCUUGUUAGCAUUCUUAGGAUCGACAAAACCUUCUGGCUGCAUCAUAUACAAUUCUUCCUUAAGGGUUAAGGAAUGCCGUUUUGACGUCCAUUUGCCAUAUCUCAUAAUCAUAGAAUGCGGCAAUUGCUAACAUGAUUCGGACGGACUUCACCUUCGCUACGGGUGAGAAAGUCUCAUCGUAGUCAACCCCUUGAACUUGUCGAUAACCCUUAGCGACAAGUCGAGCCUUAUAGAUGGUCACAUUACCAUCCGCGUCGGUCUUCUUCUUAAAGAUCCAUUUAUUUUCUAUGGCUCGCCGAUCAUCGGGCAAGUCAGUCAAAGUCCAUACUUCUUUUUCAUACAUGGAUCCUAUCUCGGAUUUCAUGGCUUCUAGCCAUUUGUCGGAAUCCGGGCCCGCCAUUGCUUCUUCAUAGUUCGAAGGUUCACCGUUGUCUAACAACAUGAUUUCCAAGAAAGGGUUGCCGUACCACUCUGGCGCGGAACGUGGCCUUGUGGACCUACGAAGUUCAGUGGCAACUUGAUCAUGAUCAUCAUCAUUAACUUCCUCUCUAGUCGGUGCAGGCACCACAGAAACAUUUUCUUGUGCUCUGCUACUUUCUGGUUCGAGAGGGGUCAUCUCAUCAAGUUCCACUUUCCUCCCACUUACUUCUUUCGAGAGAAACUCUUUCUCCAGAAAGGACCCGUUCUUGGCAACAAAGAUCUUGCCUUCGGAUCUGAGGUAGAAGGUAUACCCAAUGGUUUCCUUAGGGUAUCCUAUGAAGACGCAUUUCUCCGACUUGGGUUCGAGCUUUUCAGGUUGAAGUUUCUUGACAUAAGCAUCGCAUCCCCAAACUUUUAGAAACGACAGCUUAGGUUUCUUCCCAAACCAUAAUUGAUACGGUGUCGUCUCAACGGAUUUAGACGGUGCCCUAUUUAAAGUGAAUGCGGCAGUCUCUAAAGGAUAGCCCCAGAAUGAUAGCGGUAGAUCGGUAAGAGACAUCAUAGAUCGUACCAUAUCCAAUAGAGUGCGAUUACGACGUUCGGACACACCAUUACACUGAGGUGUUCCAGGCGGCAUGAGUUGUGAAACAAUUCCACAUUUCCUUAAGUGUGUGCCAAAUUCGUGACUCAAAUAUUCCCCUCCAUGAUCUGAUCGUAAGAACUUUAUCUUUCGGUCACGUUGAUUCUCCACCUCAUUCUGAAAUUCCUUGAACUUUUCAAAGGUCUCAGACUUGUGUUUCAUCAAGUAGACAUACCCAUAUCUACUCAAGUCAUCAGUGAGAGUGAGAACAUAACGAUAGCCACCGCGAGCCUCAACACUCAUUGGACCGCACACAUCAGUAUGUAUGAUUUCCAAUAAGUUGGUUGCUCGCUCCAUUGUUCCGGAGAACGGAGUCUUGGUCAUUUUGCCCAUGAGGCAUGGUUCGGAUGUGUCAAAUGAUUCAUAAUCGAGAGACUCUAAAAGUCCAUCAGCAUGGAGCUUCUUCAUGCGCUUGACACCAAUGUGACCAAGGCGGCAGUGCCACAAGUAUGUGGGACUAUCGUUAUCAAAUUUACAUCUUUUGGUAUUCACACUAUGAAUAUGUGUAACAUCACGUUCGAGAUUCAUUAAGAAUAAACCAUUGACCAGCGGGGCAUGACCAUAAAACAUAUCUCUCAUAUAAAUAGAACAACCAUUAUUCUCGGAUUUAAAUGAGUAGCCAUCUCGCAUUAAACGAGAACCUGAUACAAUGUUCAUGCUCAAAGAUGGCACUAAAUAACAAUUAUUGAGGUUUAAAACUAAUCCCGUAGGUAAAUGUAGAGGUAGCGUGCCGACAGCGAUCACAUCGACCUUUGAACCAUUCCCGACGCGCAUCGUCACCUUGUCCUUCGCCAGUCUCCGCUUAUUCCGCAGCUCCUGUUUUGAGUUACAAAUAUGAGCAACCGCACCGGUAUCAAAUACCCAGGAGCUACUACGAGUACUGGUAAGGUACACAUCAAUUACAUGUAUAUCACAUAUACCUUUGGUGUUGCCGGCCUUCUUGUCCGCUAAGUAUUUGGGGCAGUUCCGCUUCCAGUGACCACUUCCCUUGCAAUAAAAGCACUCAGUCUCAGUCUUGGGUCCAUUCUUUGGCUUCUUCCCGACAACUGGCUUACCGGGCGCGGCAACUCCCUUGCCGUCCUUCUUGAAGUUCUUCUUACCCUUGCCUUUCUUGAACUUAGUGGUUUUAUUCACCGUCAACACUUGAUGUUCCUUUUUGAUCUCCACCUCCGCUGAUUUCAGCAUUGAAUAUACCUCAGGAAUGGUCUUUUCCAUCCCCUGCAUAUUGAAGUUCAUCACAAAGCUCUUGUAGCUCAGUGGAAGCGACUGAAGGAUUCUGUCAAUGACCGCGUCAUCUGGGAGAUUAACUCCCAGCUGAGUCAAGCGGUUGUGUAACCCAGACAUUUUGAGUAUGUGCUCACUGACAGAACUAUUUUCCUCCAUCUUACAACUGAAGAACUUGUCGGAGACUUCAUAUCUCUCGACCCGGGCAUGAGCUUGGAAAACCAUUUUCAGCUCUUCGAACAUCUCAUAUGCUCCGUGUUACUCAAAACGCUUUUGGAGCCCCGGUUCUAAGCUGUAAAGCAUGCCGCACUGAACGAGGGAGUAAUCAUCAGCACGUGACUGCCAAGCGUUCAUAAUGUCUUGGUUCUCUGGGAUUGGUGCAUCACCUAGCGGUGCUUCUAGGACAUAAUCUUUCUUGGCAGCUAUGAGGAUGAUCCUCAGGUUCCGGACCUAGUCCGUAUAGUUGCUGCCAUCAUCUUUCAGCUUGGUUUUCUCUAGGAACGCGUUGAAGUUGAGGGCAACGUGGGCCAUUUGAUCUACAAGACAUAUUGUAAAGAUUUUAGACUAAGUUCAUGAUAAUUAAGUUCAUCUAAUCAAAUUAUUCAAUGAACUCCCACUCAGAUAGACAUCCCUCUAGUCAUCUAAGUGAAACAUGAUCCGAGUCAACUAGGCCGUGUCCGAUCAUCACGUGAGACGGACUAGUCAACAUCGGUGAACAUCUUCAUGUUGAUCGUAUCUUCUAUACGACUCAUGCUCGACCUUUCGGUCUUCCGUGUUCCGAGGCCAUGUCUGUACAUGCUAGGCUCGUCAAGUCAACCUAAGUGUAUUGCGUGUGUAAAUCUGACUUACACCUCUUGUAUUUGAACGUUAGAAUCUAUCACACCCGAUCAUCACGUGGUGCUUCGAAACAACGAACCUUCGCAAUGGUGCACAGUUAGGGGGAACACUUUCUUGAAAUUAUUAUAAGGGAUCAUCUUACUUACUACCGUCGUACUAAGAAAAUAAGAAGCAAAACAUGAUAAACAUCACAUGUAAUCAAAUAGUGACAUGAUAUGGCCAGUAUCAUAUUGCUCCUUUGAUCUCCAUCUUUGGGGCGCCAUGAUCAUCUUCGUCACCGGCAUGACACCAUGAUCUCCAUCAUCAUGAUCUCCAUCAUCGUGUCUUCAUGAAGUUGUCACGCCAACGAUUACUUCUACUUCUAUGGCUAAUGUGUUUAGCAAUAAAGUAAAGUAAUUUACAUGGCGUUAUUCAAUGACACGCAGGUCAUACAGAAAAUAAAGACAACUCCUAUGGCUCCUGCCAGUUGUCAUACUCAUCGACAUGCAAGUCGUGAUUCCUAUUACAAGAACAUGAUCAAUCUCAUACAUCACAUAUAUCAUUCAUCACAUCUUCUGGACAUAUCACAUCACAAGGCAUAUGCUGCAAAAACAAGUUAGACGUCCUCUAAUUGUUGUUGCAUGUUUUUUUACGUGGCUUCUAUAGGUUUCUAGCAAGAACGUUUCUUACCUACGUAAAACCACAAUGUGAUAUGCCAAUUACUAUUUAACCUUCAUAAGGACCCUUUUCAUCGAAUCCGAUCCGACUAAAGUGGGAGAGACAGACACCCGCUAGCCACCUUAUGCAACUAGUGCAUGUCAGUCGGUGGAACCUGUCUCACGUAAGCGUACGUGUAAGGUCGGUCCGGGCCGCUUCAUCCCACGAUGCCGCCGAAUCAAGAUAAGACUAGUAACGGCAAGUAAAUUGACAAUAUUGACGCCCACAACUGCUUUGUGUUCUACUCGUGCAUAGAAACUACGCAUAAACCUGGCUCAUGAUGCCACUGUUGGGGAUCGUUGCAGAAAUUAAAAUUUUCUACGCAUCACCAAGAACAAUCUAUGGAGUCUUCUAGCAACGAGAGGGAAAAGAGUGCAUCUACAUACCCUUGUAGAUCGUGAGCGGAAGCGUUCAAGUGAACGUGUUGAUGGAGUCGUACUCGUCGUGAUCCAAAUCACCGAUGACCGAGCGCCGAAGGGACGGCACCUCCGCGUUCAACACACGUACGGUUGGGGAAGACGUCUCCUCCUUCUUGAUCCAGCAAGGGGGAGGGAGAGGUUGAUGCAGAUCCAGCAGCACGACGGCGUGGUGGUGGAAGCAGCGGGGAUCUCAGCAGGGCUUCGCCAAGCUCAGCGAGAGGGAGAGGUGUCCCGGGAGGGAGAGGGAGGCACCAGGGGCUGUGGUGCGGCUGCCCUCCCUCCCCCUUCCUAUAUAUAGUCCCCCUGGGGGGGCGCCGGCCCUAGGAGAUCUGAUCUCCAAGGGGGGCGGCGGCCAAGGGGUGGCUUCCCCCCCCCCAAGCCAAGUGGGGGGCGCCCCCACCCCUAGGGUUUCCAACCCUAGGCGCAGGGGAGGCUCAAGGGGGGGGGCGCACCAGCCCACCAGGGGCUGGUUCCCCUCCCACUUCAGCCCAUGGGGCCCUACGGGAUAGGUGGCCCCACCCAGUGGACCCCCUGGACCCUUCCCGUGGUCCCGGUACAAUACCGGUGACCCCCGAAACUUUCCCGGUGGCCGAAACUGGACUUCCUAUAUAUAAUUCUUCAUCUCCGGACCACUCCGGAACUCCUCAUGACGUCCGGGACGGGGAGGGGGCGGCGAUGGGCGGCGUUCCUCGGGGGGCGGUCGACCCGCGGCUGCAGCGGCCGUGGCGAUUGGUCGGGGGCGGGGACGGCCGCGGCGGGACGGGGCGGGGAUGGUCUAGUGCAUCCGUUGCAUGGCAAUCCCUACUCCUCAUGUUGACAUCAAUUGAUGGGCAUCUCCAUAGCGCGUUGAUUAGCCUCGUCAACGUGAGACUUUCUCCUUUUUUGUCUUCUCCACACAACCUCCAUCAUCAUAUUCUAUUCCACCCAUAGUGCUAUAUCCAUGGCUCACGCUCAUGUAUUGCGUGAGAGUUGAAAAAGGCUGAAGCGCGUUAAAAAGUAUGAACCAAUUGCUUGGCUGAAAGCAGGGUUGUGCAUGAUGGAAGUAUUUUGUGUGACAAAAAUGAAACAUAGCCUAACUAUAUGAUUUUGUAGGGAUGAACUUUCUUUAGCCAUGUUAUUUUGAGAAGACAUGAUUGCUUUGUUAGUAUGCUUGAAGUAUUAUUACUUUUAUGUUAAUAUGAACUUUUAUUUUGAAUCAUUUUGGAGCUGAACAUUCAUGCCACAAUAAAGAAAAUUACAUUGAAAAAAUGCUAGGUAGCAUUCCACAUCAAAAAUUCUGUUUUUAUCAUUUACCUACUCGAGGACGAGCAGGAAUUAAGCUUGGGGAUGCUUGAUACGUCUCCAACGUAUCUAUAAUUUUUGAUUGCUCCAUGCUAUUAUAUUACCCGUUUUGGAUGUUUAUGGGCUUUACUUUACACUUUUAUAUCAUUUUUGGGACUAACCUACUAACCGGAGGCCCAACCCGAAUUGUUGUUUCUUUGCCUAUUUCAGUGUUUCGAAGAAAAGGAAUAUCAAACGGAGUCCAAACGGAAUGAAACCUUCGGGAGCGAUCUUUUUGGAACAAACGCAAUCUAGGAGACUUGGAGUGGAUGUCAAGAAGCAGCCGAAGCGGCCACGAGGCAGGAGGGCGCACCCUAGGGGGGUGGGGGCGCCCCCCGGCCUCAUGGCCCCCUCGUGGCUCCCCUGACCUACCUCCUUCGCCUAUAUAUACUCCCGUACCCUGAAAACAUCGAGGAGCACCACUAAAAACUAUUUCCACCGCCGCAACCUUCUGUAUCCACGAAAUCCCAUCUUGGAGCCUUCGCCGGCGCUUUGCCGGAGGGGGAAUCGACCACGGAGGGCUUCUACAUCAACACCAUAGCCUCUCCGAUGAGUUCGGAGUAGUUUACCACAGACCUUUGGGUCCAUAGUUAUUAGCUAGAUGGCUUCUUCUCUCUCUUUGAAUCUCAAUACAAAGUUCUCCUCGAUCUUCUUGGAGAUCUAUUCGAUGUAACUCUUUUUGCGGUGUGUUUGUCGUGAUUCGAUAAAUUGUGGGUUUAUGAUCAAGUUUAUCUAUGAGACAUAUUUGAAUCUCCUAUGAAUUCUUUUAUGUAUGAUUGGUUAUCUUUGCAAGUCUCUUCAAAUUAUCAGUUUGGUUUGGCCUACUAGAUUGAUCUUUCUUGCAAUGGGAGAAGUGCUUAGCUUUGGGUUCAAUCUUGUGGUGUCCUUUCCCAUUGACAGCAGGGGCAGCAAGGCACGUAUUGUAUUGUUGCCAUCGAGGAUAAAAAGAUGGGGUUUAUAUCACAUUGUUUGAGUUUAUCCCUCUACAUCAUGUCAUCUUGCUUAAUGCAUUACUCUGUUCUAAUGAACUUAAUACUCUAGAUGCAGGCAGGAGUCGGUCGCUGUGUGGAGUAAUAGUAGUAGAGGCAGAAUCGUUUCGGUCUACUUGUUGCGGACGUGAUGCCUAUAUACAUGAUCAUGCCUAGAUAAUCUCAUAACUAUGCACUUUUCUGUGAAUUGCUCGACAGUAAUUUGUUCACCUACCGUAAUACUUAUGCUAUCUUGAGAGAAGCCACUAGUGAAACCUAUGGCCCCCGGGUCUAUCUUUUAUCAUAUAAGUUUCCGAUCUACUUUUAUUUUGCAAUCUUUACUUUCUAAUCUAUAUCAUAAAAAUACCAAAAAUAUUUAUCUUAUCUUAUUAUCUCUAUCAGAUCUCACUUUCGCAAGUUACCGUGAAGGGAAUGACAACCCCUUUAUCGCGUUGGUUGUGAGGUUCUUGUUUGUUUGUGUAGGUAUGAGGGACUUUUGAGGAGUCUCCUACUGGAUUGAUACCUUGGUUCUCAAAAACUGAGGGAAAUACUUAUGCUACUUUGCUGCAUCACCCUUUCCUCUUCAAGGGAAAACCAACGCAGUGCUCAAGAGGUAGCACAUACCUACCUACACUACUAGGGAAAACCCUAUACAUAGAAUCUUAGCAGCAGCGAGUUUUAAAUUAAGGCGCUGCUGCAAUGUAGCAGUAGCGCGCUCAGGAAGUACACGCUACUGAAAUAAACGUAGCAGUAGCGCACCUCCUCUAAGCCGCGCUACUGCUAUAAUUCCCACGACCCCGCCACGAAGCUAGUUCUAGCAGCAGCGCGUUAAGUCGUAGCGUGCUACUGCUAGGUAGUUUAGCAGUAGCGCCUUUACCUUUAGAGCCCUACUGCUAAAACGAGCUAUCUCCCACCCCACGCUCUCCUCUAUCCGAUCCACACUCACACUCACACUCACACUCACUGCAUCUCCCCCUCAACCCCCACCCCCCGCGCGCCGGUCCUCCCCCGCCGGCGGCCGUCGCCCCCGCCAGCCGCCGUCGCCUACCCCUCUACCCUCUGCGCCGCCGUCAACUCCUCCUCCUCGUUGGAAUCGAUACUGCCCUCCUCCUCCGUCCUCCCUCGACUCGCCGCCGGCUGGCCCCUCCUCGCUCCGCCCUUCCUCCUCCGUCCUACUCUCUCCUCCCUCCUCCAGUCGCCCCUCCUUCUCCCUCCUCCCUCCUCCAUCCACAACCCCUCCUCCCUGCUACAUUAUGAUUUAGUAGGCUAGUUCAUAUGCAACAUUUUGAUUUAGUUCAUAUGAUUUAGUUGAUUUAGUAGGCUAGUUGAUUUAGAACAUUUUGAUUUAGUUGAUUUAGUAGGCUAGUUGAUUUAGUUGAUUUAUAGAACAUUUUGAUUUAGUUGAUUUAGUAGGCAAGUUGAUUUAAUAGAAAUGUUGAUUUAGUUGAUUUAUAGAACAUUUUGAUUUAGUUGAUUUAGUAGGCAAGUUGAUUUAAUAGGCUAGUUGAUUUAGUUGAUUUACAGAACAUUUUGAUUUAACAAUUAUUUUUCUUUCCUGUGAAGUGGAUCGUUAAUCCUUGCUCAUGUUGCUUUAGGAAAAUGGCGCCACCACCACCACCACCACCAUGUCGAUUGUGCAAGUCAAGGUGCGCCAGCAGCCUUGCAACUGGCAAGCUGUUCGGCAUCUACUUCCAGUCGAGUUUUCGUCAUGCGGUGGUAAGAAAUUAUAUGAAAUGUAACAACUAUUUUAUUUUUAGUGUUGGCAUUACUGCAUUGUGUCAUUUUGCUUUCUUUACACAGAUCGUCCCAUGCAAUGUGAGGCUGAAAUUCAACAAGCUGACACGAGACACUGUGACAUUUGAGGCUCCUGGGGGGCCGUACACUAUGGAGGUCGAUAAAGGACGCAAUAUGUCGCGGAUUGGAGGAGAUGGAUGGGCCUGUUUCCUCGCCCGCAUGCGUCUUACUGGUGGUGAGUUGAUCAGCUUCUCCUUCAGAGCAGAAAGACCCAAGCUGGCUGUCAUUUAUAUCAACCUGGUGGAAGAUGAUGAAGAUGAUGAAGAUAAUGAGGACCCACUCGAUGAAGAUGAUGAGAACCCACUUCAUGAAGCCAUCGUAGCUCAAAGAAUGAGGCUGAGUGAGGAGGAGGUGUGCAACCUAUGGGACAUAAUUCCGCCACGUGAUGACUUUGUCGGGGUGCCAUUCGUGACCCGCCUAACAAGUACCAUGGUCGAUCGGCAUGAAAUGGUAUGUUAUACGUACUGACUGUAGUAAUUUGAUGANNNNNNNNNNNNNNNNNNNNNNNNNNNNNNNNNNNNNNNNNNNNNNNNNNNNNNNNNNNNNNNNNNNNNNNNNNNNNNNNNNNNNNNNNNNNNNNNNNNNNNNNNNNNNNNNNNNNNNNNNNNNNNNNNNNNNNNNNNNNNNNNNNNNNNNNNNNNNNNNNNNNNNNNNNNNNNNNNNNNNNNNNNNNNNNNNNNNNNNNNNNNNNNNNNNNNNAAUGCUUUGCGGAAUCUAGUCGAUGAUAUGCUUUAGUGUAGAGUCUGAUCACAUGCUUAUUAGUGUAGAAUCCAAGGAACUAUUAAUAGUGUAGAUAAUCCAUAUAUACUUAUUAGUAGAAUUCAUGAUUAGUUAGUAGAACUGCAUAGAGUGGAAUCUAGACUUAAUAGAAAUAAAUUUGCAAGAGUAUGUGCGAGGCUAUUUAUUAAUUGAUAUGUUUUUCUUAUUCAGAAAUUGCCAAAGAACCUACGUGUGAGUUGUGGUAUCGAGCCUGACUGCAAGGGGCUCCGUCACCACCUGUACUUACCGCAUGGACACAGACGGUCGCACACACUUAAACUCGGUUGGGUGGAAGAGAUUCCUCGUUGGCAAGAAUCUUUGUGUUGGACAGGCCAUCCUAAUUACUAUCAGGAACACCCACUGCCCAGGCUUGAGGAUGUUGAUCGUCGUCGAUAUCAUCUAGAACUACAUAUGUGUGUGUGGCUAUAUCAUCUAGAACUACAUAUGAUGAUCGUCGUCGAUAUCAUCUAGAACUACAUAUGAUGAUUGUUGUCGAUAUCAUCUAGAACUACAUAUGAUGAUCACCUUGUACUGCUUGAGGAUGCAUGUUCAGUAUAUAUGAAAUUGUUAUCUAGUACUCCCUCGGUUCCAAAUUACUCGUCGUGGUUUUAGUUAAAAUUUGAACUAAAACAACGACGAGUAAUUUGGAACCGAGGGAGUACUACCUAGUACCUAUAAUGCUUUAUGAAAUUGAUAUCUAGUAGUACCUAGUAUCUAGAAAUUGCAGUUUAUUGAAGCUGGAACGGGNNNNNNNNNNNNNNNNNNNNNNNNNNNNNNNNNNNNNNNNNNNNNNNNNNNNNNNNGGGGGAUGAUGGAAGAUAUAGCAGUAGCGCGGGGACAGGAAAGCGCUAUAGCUAAUUAAUAGUAGCGCGCUAAGGAAACGCGCUGCUGAUAUAGUCCAUAGUAGUAGCGCGGGUACAGACCGCGCUACUACUAACAGUUAGCUGUAGCGCCUUAUUGGUAGCGCAGCUGCCCGCGCUACUGAUAGCCUCAAAACCCGCGCUAAUACUAGGGUUUUCCCUAGUAGUGCUAUCAUGGCAUUUCCAUAGCCAUUCCGAGAUAUAUUGCCAUGCAGCUUCCAUCAUCAUCAUAUACAUGACUUGAGCAUUCAUUGUCAUAUUGCUUUGCAUGAUCGUAAGAUAGCUAGCAUGAUGUUUUCAUGGCUUGUCCGUUUUUUGAUUUCAUUGCUACGCUAGAUCAUUGCACAUCCCGGUACACCGCCGGAGGCAUUCAUAUAGACUCAUAUUUUUGUUCUAGUAUCGAGUUGUAAUAUUGAGUUGUAAGUAAAUAAAAGUGUGAUGAUCAUCAUUAUUAGAGCAUUGCCCUAGUGAGGAAAGGAUGAUGGAGACUAUGAUUCCCCCACAAGUCAGGAUGAGACUCCGGACUUAAAAAAAGAGGACAAAGAAUCCCAAAUAAAAAAAAGGCCAAAGAAGCCCACCAAAAAAAACAAAAAAAUGAGAUAAAAAGAGAGAAGGGGCAAUGUUACUAUCCUUUUACCACACUUGUGCUUCAAAAUAGCACCAUGUUCUUCAUAUAGAGAGUCUCUUGAGUUAUCACUUUCAUAUACUAGUGGAAAUUUUCAUUAUAGAACUUGGCUUGUAUAUUCCGAUGAUGGGCUUCCUCAAAUGCCCGAGGUCUUCAUGAGCAAGCAAGUUUGAUGCACACCCACUUAGUUUAAGUUUGAGAUUUCAUACACUUAUAGCUCCAGUGCAUCCGUUGCAUGGCAAUCCCUACUCCUCGCAUUGACAUCAAUUGAUGGGCAUCUCCAUAGCCCGUUGAUUAGCCGCGUCGAUGUGAGACUUUCUCCCUUUUCGUCUUCUCCACACAACCUCCACCAUCAUACUCUAUUCCACCCGUAGUGCUAUAUCCAUGGCUUGCGCUCAUAUAUUGCGUGAGGGUUGAAAAAGCUGAAUCACGUUAAAAAGUAUGAACCAAUUUCUCGGCUUGUCAUCGGGGUUGUGCAUGAUAAAUACUUUGUGUUAAGAAGACAAAGCAUGACAAGAUUAUAUGAUUUUGUAGGGAUACAGUUCUUUAGCAUCGAUAUUUUGAAAGACAUGAUUGUUUGUUGGGAGGCCUGAGUAUUGAUGUCUUUAUGUCAAAUUAUAGACUAUUGCUUUGAAUCACUUAUGUCUUAAUAUUCAUGCCAUGAUUAGAUAUAUGAUCAAGAUUAUGCUAGGUAGCAUUCCACAUAAAAAUUUAUCUUUUUUAUCAUUUACCUACUCGAGGACGAGUAGGAAUUAAGCUUGGGGAUGCUCAUAUGUCUCCGUCGUAUCUAUAAUUUUUGAUUGUUCCAUGCCAAUAUUCUACAACUUUUACAUACUUUUGGCAACUUUUUAUACUAUUUUUGGGACUAACAUAUUGAUCUAGUGCCCAGUGCCAGUUCCUGUUUGUUGCAUGUUUUUUGUUUCGCAGAAAAUCCAUAUCAAACGGAGUCCAAACGGGAUAAAAACUGACGGAGAUUAUUUUUGGAAUAUUUAUGAAUUUUGGGAAGUGGAAUCAACGCGAGACGAUGCCCGAGGGGCCCACGAGGGUGAGGGGCGCGCCCCAGGGGGUCAGGCGUGCCCUGGGCCCUCGUGGCCACUCCGUAAGGCGGUUGGUGCCCUUCUUUCGCCGCAAGAAAGCUAAUAUCCGGAUAGAAAUCGUGUUAAAAUUUCAGCCCAAUCGGAGUUACGGAUCUCCGGAAAUAUAAGAAACUGUGAAACGUCAGAAUCUGAAACACAGAAACAGAGAAAGACAGAGAGACAGAUCCAAUCCCGGAGGGGCUCUCGCCCCUCCGCCGCCAUGGAGGCCAUGGACCAGAGGGGAAACCCUUCUCCCAUCUAGGGGGAAUGUCAAGAAAGAAGAAGAAGGAGGGGGGCUCUCUCCCCCUCGCUUCCGGUGGCCAUCAUCGUCACCGCAAUCUACACCAACACCUCCGUCAUCUUCACCAACAUCUUCAUCACCUUCGCCCAUCUAUCUACAGCGGUCCACUCUCCCGCAACCCGCUGUACCCUCUACUUGAAUAUGGUGCUUUAUGCUUCAUAUUAUUAUCCAAUGAUGUGUUGCCAUCCUAUGAUGUCUGAUUAGAUUUUCGUUGUCCUAUCGGUAAUUGGUGAAUUGCUAUGAUUGGUUUAAUUUGCUUGUGGUUAUGUUGCUGUCCUUUGGUACCCAUCAUAUGAGCGCGCGCAUGGAUCACACCAUAGGGUUAGUUGUAUGUUGAUAGGACUAUGUAUUGGAGGGCAAGAGUGACAAAAGCUUCAACCUAGCAUAUAAAUUGAUGCAUACGGGAUUGAAGGGGGACCAAUAUAUCUUAAUGCUAUGGUUGGGUUUUACCUUAAUGAACGUUAGUAGUUGCGGAUGCUUGCUAAUAGUUCCAAUCAUAUGUGCAUAGAAUUCCAAGUCAGGGAUGACAUGCUAGCAGUGGCCUCUCCCACAUAAAACUUGCUAUCGGUCUAGUAAAGUAGUCAAUUGCUUAGGGACAAUUUUGCAACUCCUACCACCACUUUUCCACACUCUCUAUACUAACUUUAUUUCUUCUUUAUCUAAACAGACCCUAGUUUAUAUUUACGUGCUCUUUAUAUUCUUGCAAACCUAUCUCGUUACAACUACAAAGUACUUCUAGUUUCAUACUUGCUUUAGGUAAAGCGCACGUCAAGCGUGCAUAGAGUUGUAUUGGUGGUCGAUAGAACUUGAGGGAAUAUUUGUUCUACCUUUAGCUCCUCGUUGGGUUCGACACUCUUACUUAUCGAAAGAGGCUACAAUUGAUCCCCUAUACUUGUGGGUUAUCAAUUAUCUAUCACAUUACAUGAUAGACCCUUAGUAAAAGGAUCUGCCAGAUUUUUAGACGUUUGGAUAUAAUCCAAUGCAAUAACUCCGGAGUUUCUCAUUUUUCUGACAGACUUUAACCUUCUCUGAACGUGUCUUGAUGACUUCAUGUUAUCCUUUGAGCUGCUCACUUUCGUGAUCAUGGUUUGAUUGUCGCAGUUCAUAAGGGUACCCGGUACAGGUUUCUCAACAACCGGCAAGUCAUUCAAGAGUCGACGAAGCCAAUCUGCUUCGACGGUAGCUUUAUCUAGUGCUGUGAGCUCUACUUCCAUCGUUGACCUCGUUAAGAUGGUCUGCUUUCAAGACUUCCAAGAAACAACACCACCACCAUUAGUGAAUACAUAUAUGCUCGUGGCCUUUAUCUCAUCAGCAUCUGAGAUCCAGUUUGAGUCAUUGUACCCUUCAAGCACCUUUGGGUGCCCAGUGUAGUGAAUUCCGUAAUUUGCAGUGCCUUUCAAAUAACGCAAAACUCUCUCUAGAGCUUUCCAAUGCACAUCUCCUAGUUUUGAAACAAACCGACUCAGUUUGCUAACAACAAAAGAGAUGUCAGGUCUUGUAGCAUUGACUAAGUACUUAAGUGAGCCAAUAAUCUAAGAAUAUUUCAAUUGAUCUCUAGCAAUUCUUCGAUUCUUUCGAAGCAACACACUGGCAUCAUAUGGUGUUGGAGAGGGCUUGCAGUAGCUAUAGCCAAAGCGACUCAAGAUCUUUUCCACAUAGUGAGAUUAAAGCAAUGUAAUCCCACCAUCAUCGUCUCUCAACAACUUGAUGUUCAGAAUGGCAUCAGCCACUCCUAAAUCCUUCAUCUCAAAACAAUGAGAUAGGAAAUCCUUGACCUCCUUAAGAACAUUCAGAUUUGUUCCAAAAAUCAGUAUGUCAUCAACAUACAAGCAAAGGAUAACUCCCUCGCCCCCACCAUGGCGAUAGUACACACAUUUAUAAGCUUCAUUUACAAUGAAGCCUGCAGCUGUUAAAAUACUUUCAAACCUCUCAUGCCACUGCUUGGGUGCUUGCUUAAGUCCAUACAAAGACUUCAGCAACUUGCACACUUUUCCUUCCUGGCAUCUACUACGAACCCAUCUGGUUGUUCCAUAUAAAUUUCCUCAUCCAGCUCUCCAUUUAGGAAAGAAGUCUUAACAUCCAUUUGAUGAACGAGAAGACCAUGUGAGGCAGCUAGUGAAAGUAGAACUCGAAUAAUGGUCAGUCAAGCCACAGGUGAGUAAGUAUCAAAGAAAUCUUCACCUUCCUUUUGGGUAUAACCUUUGGCCACGAGUCGUGCCUUGUAUUUCUCAAUAGUACCAUCAGGCCUACCAAUCGAGAGUCCCUCAUGGCUGAGGAGGUCAAGAAGCUCUCAACGAGAAUGUAUGAAUUGCAUGAAUGGUACAUGAAAAUUGCCAAGACUACCAAUCGAGAGUCCCUCAUGGUGAAAGUCAUGGCAGAGCAUUACUGCCAUGAGAAUGCUCUCUAUGUUGAGUUUACAGAACUGCUCCAGUUAUUCAAUCAAGACGCACUCAACAAAUCUAUCAUCAGUUGCUAUUGUCUGUAAGUGAUUUCUUUCUAUAAUUUAAGUCUCAAGCUAGCUUUAGUGCUCGUUGAUCAUUACCUGUAAGUAUCCUCACUAUAUUAUUUUCUGUGGUAUUAUGCAGAACGAAGAUCUAUGAAAUGAAAAAAGCUGGACGCUAUGGCAUUGGGUUCAUUGACCCAAAUACCGUUAAUCAAAAGACAUGGUCACAGGAAUUUUAUCGAAAAGAAACAGAGAAAAGCUUGCUAGAGUUCUUGAAGCGCCUCAAUACCAAUCAAGAUAUACUACUUCCUUACAACUUCGGGUGAGUCACACUGUCUUGUAGUACAAAUUCUGUUUUUGCUUACUAGCUAGAUGUUAAUUAAUAAGUGUAUAGGGUUUAGGGUAGUUGAUGAGUGUUAUGCACAUACCCGCUUAAUUUAUACAUGCAAACAUGUGCGCAUGUAGUUUCCACUGGAUCUUGUUAAUCAUUCGAGUUGAAGAUGGAACAAUUGAAGUACUGGACUCGCUACUUAAACCAGUUGCUCAUUACGAAAUCUUGAAGGGGAUAGUCAACACGUAAUUUCAAUCAUUAUCGAACUAUAUGUCGGCCUUUUUAGUUCGUCAUUUCCUGAUAUCAACUAAUUAAUAACUCCUUUAUUCAUUUUCUUUGCCGGCGGGUAGGGCUUGGCAAAAGUUCAUCAAAGAGGUUUCAGGUCAAUGGAAACAAAAGCUGUAUUGAUAUCGACCCAAGGUAUAAUUAAUUAAGUAGUACUAGCUAGCUACCAUCUCUUCAAUUCUAGUUUUAAUACCAUUAGUUAUCAUGCUUGAUUAAUUAUUAUGUGAUUGAAUUCUAUUCUCGUGAAGUGCAUGAAGCAGUUGCGGGGGAAUGGUUUAUGUGCAUACGAUGUUUGCGAGAACAUUCACAUGACGUCGUCCGAAAGGAGCAGAUCUGAUAGACAGCUAUGGGUACGUUUACCAGAACACUAUUCAUAAUUUUUACAUCAUUAUCGAUAUAUAAUAUAUAUACACACAACUAAUACAUGCAUAUUGAUCGCCUUCUUUAAAGUUCAAGGAGGUGCGGGAAUAGCUCCUACCAACGGAUCGCGUACAAACAAUUCAAGAAGAAAUAGCGGAAUUUUUGCUUGACCAGGUCAUGGAUCCCAAACAAGAAUUCCAUUAUCUGCUACAGCAGUAAUGCUUCUAUGUAGGUGAAAUUGUAAUAUAUAUAUAUAUAUAUAUGUGUGUGUGUGUGUGUGUGUGUGUGUGUGUGUGUGUGUGUGUGUGUGUGAAUGGUGGUGCGAAACAUUCGAUGAUGGCCCCGGCGCAGGCUCGUGCCACGUGGUGGCCCUUUAGUGGCGGUUUGUUCUGAACCGGGACUAAGGGGGACUUUUAGUCCCCACCCUUCAGUGCCGGUUACAGAACCAGCAUUAAAGAGUCUUACGAACCGGUGCUAUAGCCCGGUUCUGCACUAGUGUGGUCUUUGACCCCAAAUCGGGAAAGGAAUCGUGCGAGACGCACGACAAGCGCCCAACCUGGUUACACGCCAUCCACCCGGGCCGGGGCCAGACAGAAACUUUAUCGCCACAGCCCGGGCCCGUGCACAAAAAAAAAAUACCACACUGCAUGCUCUGCGCGCUCGGGCCCUUUGUGUGUCAGAUCGGCCCCCCGAGCGAGCCCAUGAACCUGACGCUGGCAGUGUAUUUGCGCCCCAACUAUUUAUCGCCUUAAGCAAAGCGAGAGGGGAACGCUCGCUGAAGGUUUCAUCCAUGAGCGUCGUAAUGAGCCGGCCCGCUGGCGCGAGGGUAUCACCCUGGUCUCCAGUAGGAUUUUGACUGCCACUAGCCACUCCGCCUAAGGUUCAUUUCGUGAUUAGGUGUAGGGCGCAUCCUAUUUGAGGCUAUUCUAGCCGUUUUUUCUUUAUGUUUUCUAUAGUUACCUUUAUUUUUUCUUCUCCAUUUUAUUUUUCAUUCUUAAUUGCAUUUAGUUUCUUUGUUUUUCUUUUCUUCUCCUUUUUUUGUUUUUUCUUCUUCUCCAUGUAUUUUUUUUAUGUUUGCUUUCAUUUUCAUUCUACAUUUUCGUAUAUGUCAAAAACAUUUUUUAAUAAGUCAUCAAGAUUUUUUGUAUACACGUUCAACAUUGUCCGAGCGAUUAUCAACAUUUACUAAAUACUUGUUCAACAUUUCAAUACUUAUUCAACAUUUUCCAAAUACAUGUUCAACAUUUUUAAAUAAUUUUUCAAUAUUUUCAAAUACUUGUUCAACAUUUUCAAAUACUUGUUCAACAUUUUUAAUACUUGUUCAAAAAUUUCAAAUACUUGUUCAACAUUUUUCAAGUACUUGUUCAACAUUUUUUAUAUACAUGAUCAACAUUUUUUUAAAUACUUGUUCAACAUUUUGUGAAUACUUGGUCAACAUUUUUUUACAUACUUGUUCAGUAUUUUUAAAUACUUGUCCAACAUUUUUAUAUACGUGAUCAAUAUUUUUUUCAAAUACUUGUUCAGAAUUUUCAAAUACUUGUUCAAUAUUUUUCAAGUACUUGUUCAACAUUUUUUAUAUACAUGAUCCACAUUAUUUUUGAAAUAUUUGUUCAACAUUGUUUUAUACACUUUUCCAGUAUUUUUAAAUAUUUGUCCAACAUUUUUAUAUACAUGAUCAAUAUUUUUUCAAAUACUUUAUCAACAUUUUUUUCAAAUAGUCGUUCAACAUUUUUUAAAUACUUACUCAACAUUUUUCAAAUACUUGUUCAAUAUUUUUAAAUGUUUUUCAUAGAGUUUUUUCUAAUAUAUAUAUUUAGUACAAAUAAAAAUAAAAAAGAAAGAAAAAAGGAAAAAAGAAAAACAAAUAAAACAGGAAACAUGAGUUUCCGUCACUAGUGGGACGGCCCACUAACGGUUCUCUUCAGCGAGUCGGGCGACUCCUCUCGCGUAACGCGAGAAAUAGGAGCUCCUGUGUAUUUGCUGGCAUUGAGCAAUGUAUGUCCACUUUACUCUUUACGACAAAUUUGAUUGCACGGAUCACCUCGCGCAGCGUUACCGGUUGGAUAACUGCGAUCAGCUGCCGCUGCGUGUAGGACCUCCGCACUUGGGUAUAACAACCUUUCUUGCUGUGCUGCUUCCGCUCGUCGACCCAUGCCUGCUAACAAGGCGGAUCCAUUGACCCAUGCUUGAUAACAAGGCGGACUCAUCGAUCCAUGCUUGAUAACAAGGCGGGCGAACUGAUGACGGGCAAGACACCAUGGCGGAACAAGAACACUUCAUAUGCCAUAUGGAGUGUUUGGAAGGAGCGUAAUCACCAUAGUUCGAAUGUGUGGUAGAAAAAACAUAUGGAGUGAGGUCUCCUCUUUUUGUUCAGUUGAAUUAGGGUCUACCUAUUUUUCUAUUGCCACGUUUUGGCCAGCAAACAAGAAACAUGAAGUGCUGAAUGCCUUUUGUACAUGUGUCUUGUGGAGCCUUUGGAAAAUCAGAAAUAAACAUGUAUUUGACAAUGCUAUCUGGUUUGACACUAAACAGGUUUGGUGGCUGGUCCGGAGGACCCUCAAGAGGUGGAUGCUUCUGUACAUCGAGGACUCGCUGGAGAAAAUAUGCAGAAGAUCUCACACUGGAUAUCCUGCAGGUCUGGAUGAAGGGUGACCUGAUGGACACUGGAGGUGUCACGCUCAGGCCUCCUUUCUUUCCAAACUGGUUUUGGGGAUACACAAAGGGUGACGUGAUGGACCUGGCUUUGGGGACACCAGCAAAAACAACAAUCCAGGCGACCUCAAGCCCGGCCUCACCCCUUGACUGGCCAACACAACCUCUCAAUAAGAUGAAGGGAGAGAUCCUGGAGCAGAUCAAGGAGGUUCGCCUGAUGCUUGCUGCUGAAGACAAAAGGGUGCUGGCUGAUGCGGGUGGUCCACAAUGACCCUGUAGUGACUUCGCUUCUUUGUUUUCAUCCUUUAAAUCUCUAUGGGUGAUAUGUGUCGUCAGUUUUCAAAUUAGGGUGUAGGUUUUUUUUUAUCUCUCGUACUUCCUGAAUCUGCUCAAUGCAAAGUGUUGGUUUCAUUUUCNNNNNNNNNNNNNNNNNNNNNNNNNNNNNNNNNNNNNNNNNNNNNNNNNNNNNNNNNNNNNNNNNNNNNNNNNNNNNNNNNNNNNNNNNNNNNNNNNNNNNNNNNNNNNNNNNNNNNNNNNNNNNNNNNNNNNNNNNNNNNNNNNNNNNNNNNNNNNNNNNNNNNNNNNNNNNNNNNNNNNNNNNNNNNNNNNNNNNNNNNNNNNNNNNNNNNNNNNNNNNNNNNNNNNNNNNNNNNNNNNNNNNNNNNNNNNNNNNNNNNNNNNNNNNNNNNNNNNNNNNNNNNNNNNNNNNNNNNNNNNNNNNNNNNNNNNNNNNNNNNNNNNNNNNNNNNNNNNNNNNNNNNNNNNNNNCCGCUAGUAGAAUGUAGACAUUUUUAGCCUCGGUUCUAUUGUACAUACACUUUGUUUCUCUAUCGGCUGUUCAGAAGAAAAAGAAAGGCGAUUGUUUGCUACGCACAAAUGAAACAAUGACCUUGCAUUCACCUAUUUUACCACAACACUGUGACGCAAGUAGCCGAAUAAGAAGAGAAAAAGGAUGAGCAUGCCAAUGGCCCUUCAUACCAUUUCGUUCCGCGACUUCGAAGAAACACACCACUGUCAGUCAUGUGCAGGCCCUUCUCUAUUGACGACAUCCACUUCACCAACAUGACGACCUUUGCCUUGAAAAAAAAACGUAGGCCAAGUCUGAAAUUUCAGCCGAGUCAAACUGCACACUGGAGUGUUGUUUGCCUUGGGUUGGCCAUCAGUUCCGUUGCCAACGUUUGACAUUCCUCAGAUUCACCACUGUCAGCCAUGUGCAGGCCCUUCUCUAUUGACGACAUCCACUUCACCAACAUGACGACCUCACUGGUAGAAAAAGGGCCUAUUGUCCCGGUUGGUAAGGGCCUUUUGUCCCGGUUUUCGAACCGGGACUAAAGGGUCGUUACUAAUGCCCUAACUCUUUAGUCCUGGUUCUUACACGAACCGGGACAGAUGGGCCUCGACGUGGCCGGCGCGGCGAGCCCAAGCAGGAGGGCCUUUGGUCCCGGUUGGUGGCACUAACCGGGACCAAUAGCAUCCACGUGGCCGGUGCGGCGAGCCCAGGCAGGAGGGCCUUUGGUCCCGGUUGGUGGCACUAACCGGGACCAAUAGGCAUCCACGCGUCAGCAUUUCAGGGGCUGGGGUUUUUGUUUUUUUUUGGAAAGGGGGGAGGGGUUGGGGUUUUUGGGGGGUUUAUUUAGGUGUUUCAUAUAUUGUGUUAGCUAGCUAAUUAAUAGAGAGAAGUGUCCUCUCUUAUCUCCGUGCUUGGUCGACGCUACGUACUAUAUACGUAUGGAGAGGACUAGACACGCUAGCUAGUAAGCAAAUGAAGGAAACAGAAGAUCGUCAUGAACAUAUGCAUACAGAGAGAAGUGAUAUCGACCACCUCUCCUUCUCCGAGAGAUUGGUCGAACAACAAGUUCUCGUAUAUCUAUCUGACACUACCGGCUACAUAUAUACAAUAAUUAUCUCUUACAAUAUAAUCUCCUAACUAAAUUGUAAGAACACAGGGUCCACGUAGUAUUCUCCGUUUGUAGCGAUCACGUGGUCAAGGAAGAAUGCUGCCAAUUCCUCUUGAAUUGCUCGCAUACGAUCUGGUGCUAGGAGUUCAUCCCGCAUCCGAAAGAUCUAAUUUGAAGAAGGGGGGUAUAUAUAUAUCCCGCAUCCCGCAUCCCGCAUACACACACACACAUAUAUAUAUAUAUAUAUAUGAAUAAAUGAAACUCGACACAAAUGAUGGUAAUAAAAUAAAAUUGUGAAUGUUAUUGCUUACGCACUUCAUAUUGUUCGUCAGAGUAGCCCCGCUCACAGGUCGUGUGGCGGAUGGACUCGCAAACGUAGUAUCCACAGAAAUCAUUCCCUUGUUCCUGCCACAACCACUUUACAAAAAAUAGAGGUCAAUCAAACUGAUAAGCAAGCAUGCUAAAUGGUAUUGAUGAAACUAGCGCUUGAAUCACUAGGAGAUGCGCGGAACAUGCUACUAUAGUACUUACUUUCGGGUGUCUAAAUUGCAGCUUCUUCGGCAGUCCCGGAGCUUUUUUGGUGAAUUUUAUCCAAACCCUGCCAGACAAAGAAAACAAUUACUUGAUAUCAGGAAAUGAACAAAGUUGCUGAUAUGGUGGAUAAUGAUCGAUUUAACUUACUUCUCGAGCAUUUGAGUCAUGUCCGCAUAGUCCUGGGGAUCUUUUCGUCUUGAGUCUAAGACGGUUACUACUCCCUGCUCAAGCUUAAUCUCUAGAAGAAUAUAGUGGAAGCUGCGCACGCAUGCAUAAGUCAUCAAUUACAUUACCAUAACUUGGACUAAUAAGGGAAACCGAAUAUGCACAAGACAGUAACACUCACUUGAAGUUGUAAGGAAAGAGUAUUAUAUCUUUGUUUUCAUUUAUUACCAACGAUCGUAGCAAGUUGGCCUCCGUAUCUUCGGCAUGAUAUUUAACCUGAGUUGCAUCUAUGAGAUUUGUGUUAAUGAACCCAAUAUCACCGAUUUGUCUUUUCUUCAAUUCGGUGAUCUUCAAUCUGCAUAAUAUAGUGAGGAUAAUUAUAAAUACAUGCAAUAAAAGAGCUGACCUAUAUAGAGAGACUUAAUGACAGAAGUAGUACUACUUACAGACAGUAGCAAGUGAUCGUUGAUUUAUUGAGGGCCUUUUGAUUGAAAAACUGGAAGAACUCCUCAAAUGGAACAUUCAACAGUUCAAUUCCAACGAGGUCAUGCUCCGGUUUAACUCUCAGCGUCAAAGUAUUCCUCCCCCCAGACUCUCUGCAGGUUUUCAUGUACCAAUCUUGUAAUCUUCGCAUCAUCGUUGUUAGAGAUCUUUCAUCUUUGACGAGAGGCUUCCCGUAAUGGUAUUUGUGUUCGUCCACCUCCAUGAUUUCAUAAUGUACAUCGUCGGGCAGGUAAUCUCCAAGAUUGCUAUAACCGGGCACCAUCCUCGGAUCAUUAGCGACGAUGUCGCUAGACACCUUGAGCGGGGGGCACGAUUGGUUCGCUUGUUCGCCGAGCUAGGCAAUUUUUUUCCCAUCUCGUCGUUCUUUUAACCUUUGAUCACUGGCAGUACUUGUCGACCGCUCCGCUUCGGCAAAUGUCUUUGCAAAAAGGCGCUCAUAGUUGCCUCUCGGUGGAGACUUUGGUGGUUUUGUCAGGGUAGCCAGAGUGCGCUUCGCUUUCACCGGAUCUACCUUCUCCUCCGGAGGUGGAUGUUUCUUUGCUUUCACCCCUUCAAAGAAGUUCGUCACUUCAGCUCGCACGAUCUUCGUGGUUUCCUCCUCGGUCCUCUCGUAUGGUAACCUCUCUGGAGUCUUCAGAGAAGGACCGAAUUUGUAUUGCCUCCCGCCUCUGGCAGCUGUACUGCUAGACGCCAGCAGAGCAGACGGAGCGGCUACGGCUAUCUUCUUUCCUUGCUUACGAGGCGGAGGAGAAGGACUAUGACGCGCCGGAGCAGCCGGAGCGGCGACGGGUCUCUUCCGCCCUUGCUGACGAGGCGGAGAAGGAGGAGGCUAGCUGCUCUGGCACGCCGGUGCAGGCGGAGAAGGAGGCGGAGUGCCGCCACGCGCCGGAGAAGGAGGCUGAGUGCCCUGAUCACUCGCCGGAGGAGGAGGCGGAGUGCCCUUACUCGCCGGAGGCGUCCAGUUCGGAAGGUUAAUGAGCUCCUUCCACGAUAGGCAUGGAGUCUUCAGAGCAGAACCCAGCCGAGUCUCCCCUUCACCGGUAGGGUGGUCAAGCUAGAGGUCCUCAAAUCCCUCCGUUAUUUCAUCCACCAUCACCAUAGCAUAUCCUUCUGGAAUCGGCUGGCAGUGGUAGGUUGCGCCGGGUUCAGGAGGUAAAACAGAGCCAACAGCCGCCUUGACUUCGAAGUUCUGCCAUUGCGCCAUAAGGUGGCAAUGUUGAGACUCCGUGAUAGCAUCCACGGGGUAGCUAUCAGGAGCCGUCAAGACAUGCUCCGGCUGAAGCAGCUCGGUGGAAGCCACGCUGCUUCUCCGCUGAGAUGGCGGGGUAGCUUCGGGGGUAGUUUCGGCAUGUCGAUUGCCGUCUCGUUCCUCUAGCGCUUGAACCCUUUCGUGCAGCUUCUGAAUUUGGUUCUACUCCAUUUUUUUCCUCCUCUCCCGGCUUUUGUAACUGCCUGCGUCCGGAAAACCAGCCUUCCACGGAACGGAGCCUGGCGUGCCUCGUGUCCGUCCAGGGUGCUUAGGAUUCCCGAGGGCCAUUGUGAGCUCGUCGUUCUCUCUGUCUGGAACGAACGUCCCUUCCUGCGCUGCAUCGAUAUAUUGCUGAAUCUUCUUGACUGGUAUUCUCAAAAUCUCGUCUGUCCAAACGCACCUCCCUGAUACAGGGUCUAAUUUUCCGCCAGCCCCAAAGAACCAAGUCCGGCAACGGUCUGGCCAGUUCAUUGUCUGUGGUUCGAUCCCUUUUUCAAGCAGAUCAUUCUCAGCCUUGGCCCACUUAGGCCGGGCUUUGAGGUAGCCACCUGACCCCGUGCGAUGGUGAAGCUUCUUCUUUGCAGCAUUCUUCUUGUUUGUCGCUGACAUAUUCUUACUCUUUUCUGAUGUCUUAUGGGCCACAAAUGCGGGCCAGUGAUCUCUGAUCUUCUCAUACCGGCCAAUGAAUUCUGGUGUCUCUUCUUUGUCGACAAACGUUUUCAGCUCAUUCUUCCACCUCCUGAAUAGGUCUGCCAUCUUCUUAACAGCAUGAGACUUGAUUAAUUGCUCUUUAACUGGCUUCUCCGGAUCCUCCUCUGGCGAUAGGGUGAAAUUUGCCUUCAGCUCAGUCCAAAGGUCAUCUUUCUGCAUAUCAUUGACAUAAGACACAUCAGGGUCUUCCUUCUUAGGCUUAUACCAUUGGUGGAUGCUGAUCGGGAUCUUGUCCCUAACAAGAACCCCGCACUGAGCAGCAAAUGCUUCCUUUGUCCGGAUGGGUUCAAUUGGUUGGCCGUCGCGCGCGAUUGCUGUGAUCUCAAACCUUUCAUCCGAGCGCAACUUUCUCUUUGGGCCUCGUCUCUUUACCGAAGUUGUGCUUGAUCCGGAGGGCUAGAAAAAAGAAGAAAGACGAGAGUUAAUUAAUAUGUGUACAUACCAAAACAAUGAAUGCAUCAAUUAGCUAGUCAGCAUAGGCUUAACUAAUAUAUUUACCUGGCCGGACUCCGUUCGGUCACCGGAGCCGUCACCACGGGCUCCUUCUUGCACCAGCAUUGGGUCACCGGAGCAAUCAUAAUCAUGUCUUUCCUCCUCCACUCUUCGAUCACCGUAGCCUGCUUCUUCACCCUGUUCUUCCAGACCACUGUUUCUGCACAACACCUCCGGCUAAGAUUAUGUCCCCCAACACCUCUUCUGCUUGCUCGUCUCGUCUGUGCUCCAUUGUUUCUGCAAAUAUUACAACAUGGCAAUUAUUACACAAACAUGACAGCAGGUGGAUAUAUUAGUGCAAACGUAGACCUAGCUUAUUCCGGGUUUGGGGUGGCCUCGGCAACGCUUCAAGGGUAGGGGCGCGGCGGGAGGGGGUAGGAGACCGACAUCGUUUUUUUCUAGGGUUUGGGUGUCCUCGAGAGUUUUGGUCGAGCGAGAGGGCCCGGGGGUGCUCCCGUGGGAUAAGUUAUCACGGUCGAAGUUAUCCGAGAGGGGGUUAUAUCGACAACGACGACAUACAUACAUGGGAAAAUAAUGUUAUCGGGGAGGGGGUAGGUCGCCCCCCCUCGUGUUGAAGUUAUCGGGACACGGGGUAUAUUAAUAGAGGAGAAAAAGAGGAGAAGAAGAUAUUAAUAGAGGAGAAGAUUGAAGAAAAAAAAGAAGAAAAAAAGAGGAGAAGAAGAAAGGAAUAGAGGAGAAGAAGAGAAAAUAGAAUAUUCUAUUUUCUCUUCUUCUCUUCUAUUCCUUUCUUCUUCUCCUCUUCUUUUUUUUCUUUUUUUCUUCUUAUUUAUUUCUCCUCUUCUUCCUCUCCUCUUCUUCUCCUUUCUUCCUCUUCUUAUUUUUGUUUUUCCUCUCCUUCUUUUUCUUCUUCUUUCUUUCCUAGCUAAAUAUAUAAAACUUUUCUAAAAAUGUAACUUUUGCAUAUAUAAAUUUUUUCCAUGGAUCAUAAAUUCUCAUAUAUAUCCAUCNNNNNNNNNNNNNNNNNNNNNNNNNNNNNNNNNNNNNNNNNNNNNNNNNNNNNNNNNNNNNNNNNNNNNNNNNNNNNNNNNNNNNNNNNNNNNNNNNNNNNNNNNNNNNNNNNNNNNNNNNNNNNNNNNNNNNNNNNNNNNNNNNNNNNNNNNNNNNNNNNNNNNNNNNNNNNNNNNNNNNNNNNNNNNNNNNNNNNNNNNNNNNNNNNNNNNNNNNNNNNNNNNNNNNNNNNNNNNNNNNNNNNNNNNNNNNNNNNNNNNNNNNNNNNNNNNNNNNNNNNNNNNNNNNNNNNNNNNNNNNNNNNNNNNNNNNNNNNNNNNNNNNNNNNNNNNNNNNNNNNNNNNNNNNNNNNNNNNNNNNNNNNNNNNNNNNNNNNNNNNNNNNNNNNNNNNNNNNNNNNNNNNNNNNNNNNNNNNNNNNNNNNNNNNNNNNNNNNNNNNNNNNNNNNNNNNNNNNNNNNNNNNNNNNNNNNNNNNNNNNNNNNNNNNNNNNNNNNNNNNNNNNNNNNNNNNNNNNNNNNNNNNNNNNNNNNNNNNNNNNNNNNNNNNNNNNNNNNNNNNNNNNNNNNNNNNNNNNNNNNNNNNNNNNNNNNNNNNNNNNNNNNNNNNNNNNNNNNNNNNNNNNNNNNNNNNNNNNNNNNNNNNNNNNNNNNNNNNNNNNNNNNNNNNNNNNNNNNNNNNNNNNNNNNNNNNNNNNNNNNNNNNNNNNNNNNNNNNNNNNNNNNNNNNNNNNNNNNNNNNNNNNNNNNNNNNNNNNNNNNNNNNNNNNNNNNNNNNNNNNNNNNNNNNNNNNNNNNNNNNNNNNNNNNNNNNNNNNNNNNNNNNNNNNNNNNNNNNNNNNNNNNNNNNNNNNNNNNNNNNNNNNNNNNNNNNNNNNNNNNNNNNNNNNNNNNNNNNNNNNNNNNNNNNNNNNNNNNNNNNNNNNNNNNNNNNNNNNCGGCCUGUGGUCCCGGUUGGUGGCACCAACCGGGACUAAGGGGGGGGGGGCAUUGGUACCGGUUCGUGGCACCAACCGGGACCAAUGCCCCCCUUUAGUCCCAGUUAGUGCCACCAACCGGGACCAAAGGACAUGUGCUGCCCGCGUCGCGGCCAAAGUUUAGUCCCACCUCGCUAGUUGAGAGAGCUUGAGAGUGGUUUAUAAGCGCUGCUGCGCCCACCCUCUCGAGCUCCUCUCAAUUGCAGGCUUUCGGGCCUAACCGUACACUGUGUGCCUAUGGGCCUACUGGGCCACCUGCGGGCCUGAAUCCUGGCCCAUGGUUGGGUUUCUAGUCGUAUUCAGGCCGUGGUGGCCCAGUAGAUGGCACUUUUUUUCUUUGUUGCUUUAUUUAUUUUAUUUUGUUUCUACUUACAACAAAAUACUUACUGUUGCUAUUUUUAUUUAUUUUAUUAAAUUUUAUUUUUUUAAUUCUGUUUGCUUUUAGGUCACAAAAAUUAUAAACUUUCUGUUAGUGCCAUUAGUUUUCAAAUUUGAAUUAUUUGAAAUUUCUGUGAUUCUUUUUCCUGCUAUUUAAUAUUACUGUGUUUUAUGAUUCUAUUCAAAAACAGAUUUUUUUAUUUUAGUUUCUAACAAAAAAUCUUUAUGAUAAUGCUUUUUGCUAUUAAAAUGUCUAACAGAAACAUUCUUUAUGAAAAUUCUUUUUGCUUUUGAUGUUUUGAACAGAAAAUGAUUUGAUAAUUUUGGUUGCAUAAAUUUUAUAUAAUUUUAGUUUCAAUAACACUAGAGGUUUAUAAAAGUUUUUUUGUUGAUUCCUUUUGCUAUUGGAGUUUUAUAAAAGAUUUUUAGUACAAAAUGCACCAUCUCUUUCGAAGUAUCAGGGUUUCGGACGGAAACUCAUCAGUUACGAAGGGAUUUCAUUUUUUUGAAUUUAUUUGAACACCAGACUUUUUGUGUGUUCAAAAUGCACCAUUCAAAGCCACAUCAUCAAUUUUCAACCCUUUCUGACUUUAUUUGUUAUUUUUCAUGCAUUUACUGAUUUUUUGAGCUAUAUGACCCUUAAAUUGAAAAGCACUACAAAUGAACUCCGAAAAGGUUGAAAGUUGGCAUGGUGUCAUCAUUUCACCCACAUAGCAUGUGCUAAAAAGUUGAGAGGGUUACAGCAAAAACUGGAUGCACUUCGUGUACAAAAUGCACCAUCUCUUUCGAAGUAUCAGGGUUUCGCACGGAAACUCAUCAGUUACGAAGGGAUUUCAUUUUUUUGAAUUUAUUUGAACACCAGACUUUUUUGUGUGUUCAAAAUGCACCAUUCAAAGCCACAUGAUCAAUUUUCAACCCUUUCUGACUUCAUUUGUUAUUUUUAAUGCAUUUACUGAUUUUUUUGAGCUAUAUGGCCGUGAAGUUGAAAAGCACUUCAAAUGAACUCUGAAAAGGUUGAAAGUUGGCAUGAUGUCAUCAUUUCACCCACAUAGCAUGUUCUAAAAAGUUGAGAGGGUUACAAGAAAAACUGGAUGCACUUCAUGUACAAAAUGGACAAUCUCUUUCGAAGUAUCAGGGUUUCGGACGAAAACUCNNNNNNNNNNNNNNNNNNNNNNNNNNNNNNNNNNNNNNNNNNNNNNNNNNNNNNNNNNNNNNNNNNNNNNNNNNNNNNNNNNNNNNNNNNNNNNNNNNNNNNNNNNNNNNNNNNNNNNNNNNNNNNNNNNNNNNNNNNNNNNNNCAUUUCACCCACAUAGCAUGUUCUAAAAAGUUGAGAGGGUUACAAGAAAAACUGGAUGCACUUCAUGUACAAAAUGGACAAUCUCUUUCGAAGUAUCAGGGUUUCGGACGAAAAAUCAUCAGUUACGAAGGGAUUUCAUUUUUUUAAAUUUAUUUGAACACCAGACUUUUUGUGUGUUCAAAAUGCACCAUUCAAAGCCACAUGAUCAAUUUUCAACCCUUUCUGACUUCAUUUGUUAUUUUUCAUGCAUUUACUGAUUUUUUUGAGCUAUAUGGCCGUGAAGUUGAAAAGCAGUUCAGAUGAACUCUGAAAAGGUUGAAAGUUGGCAUGGUGUCAUCAUUUCACCCACAUAGCAUGUGGUAAAAAUUAGAGAGGGUUACGGAAAAAACUGGAUGCACUUCGUGUACAAAACGGACAAUCUCUUUUGAACUAUCAGGGUUACGGACGGAAACUCAUCAGUUACAAAGGGAUUUCAUUUUUUUGAAUUUAUUUGAACACCAGACUUUUUGUGUGUUCAAAAUGCACCAUUCAAAGCCACAUCAUCAAUUUGCAACCCUUUCUGACUUCAUUUGUUAUUUUUCAUGCAUUUACUGAUUUUUUUGAGCUAUAAGGCCGUGAAGUUGAAAAGCACUUCAGAUGAACUCUUUAAAGGUUGAAAGUUGGCAUGGUAUCAUCAUUUCACCCACAUAGAAUGUGCUAAAAAGUUGAGAGGGUUACGGAAAAAACUGGAUGCACUUCGUGUACAAAACGGACAAUCUCUUUCGAACUAUCAGGGUUUCGGACGAAAACUCAUCUGUUACAAAGGCAUUUCAAAUGAACUACGAAAAGGUUGAAAGUGGGCAUGGUAUCAUCAUAAUAGUUGUGUAGAGAAAGUCUUCACUUUUUCUUCGCUUGUGUCCUUUGCUUAUUGUGCCGUAACCAUGGAUAAUCUUUAUCGUUUAUUAGUGAAGGGGAACGCGACAGAAAAGAAAAAUUUUCCGACCAACGCACCAGCCCAGGACCACUAUGGAGACUGCAUACAUGGUUUGAUCUUUUUCAUUACCGACUCGUAGCGCAGCGGGAAGUAGAGUCGAUGACGAUCGGCGGUGCAGAUCCCCGCAGCUAGGAUUUACAACCUCCCAACCGCGAGGAUGUAUACCCUCAUCUGCUCCUCAGACAGCCCUCCGGGAGGCGGUCAAACAGCCCCCCAGACGGUGUCGUGGACAGCCCUUCGGGAGGACCUUCAAAACUCGAACGGUCACUCGGACAGCCCUUCGGGAGGACCUUCGAAACUCGGACGGUCACACGGACAGCCCUUCGGGAGGCACACACGAACUAAGACCGAAACUACGAUCUCUCUACAGAGUUGCACACAUACGGUGUCAUCUAUCCGGCAGGGCUUCGCCGUCCAGAACUAGUUCCUGCCGGAACCCAGAUAGCCUUACGGCUCUACGAAACUCUUUUCGUGGGAAGGAGAGAAGAAGCCAGAUAAUGCAUGGCAUGUGUAUGAGAGCAAGGGAUGAGUGUGGAGGGCUGCCCCUCCACCUCUAUUUAUAGGAAAUCCCAAGGGGGUAGGGUAGUUUCACAAAAAACCCAAAAUGCACAUGAAUGAAGUCCUUCCACAAGGACCUAGGAGUGAAACCAAGGAACAAGAGGGUCCCCAAGGGGGGAUACCCCAUGUGGCCGGCCACACCCCCAUGAGGGGCCCAAAAAAUGGCUCCUAUCCAUCCAUGUCAUCCCCAAGAUCUUUUGGAGCAAAGCCCCAAAAGGUGGCUUUCCAUAAAGUAACCAUAAAGCUGAUUUUCACUAUUCACGACGUCAUUUUUCAGCGUCUGAUCGAACUGAAAAUAUUUAUGUGGGCUAAGAACAUUUCCAGUACCCACUAAAAUGAUUUUCAACGCGUUCCGAAACAAUUCCGGUUUUAGUGAUUUUCAUCUGGGAAACGGAUCUGAAGUGGCUCCGGCAGCUCCGGAACAUUUCCGGUUUUUAUCUCAGAAAAUUCCAAAAAGCUUCCAGAAUGAUUCUGGCAUCCUCCAAGAAUUAUCAGGCAUGUGCCGAAACCAAUUUGACUUAAUGGUGUAUCCCGAAACAACUUUUCGGUAUCAUCGAAACUUAUCCGAUGACCUCUCUCUGCGGUACGAUUCCGCUGUCCGAAACUUUUCGGUGUCCGAAACUUUUUCGGUGAUUUUCUCUCAGACUCCCUGUCUAGUAUUCAGUAGAUAGAUGACCCUUAAGCGUGUGACCCUGUAGGUUCGGUGAAGUAUAGACAUGACCCGGAACCCCUUCCGAUCAAUGAUCAACAUCGGAGCCGUGGACACCCAUAUUGACCCCUAUACCCACACGAAUAAAUAUUCGAGUGAACCUCCAGUUGCCGUGUGCUAUGCCUGUUGCUUCGCGAUAUGUUACAAAUACCCGAGGUGAGACAUGUUGGCAUUCCCGUGGAUCAACAACUUGUCCACUAUGCUAGUUACCUCGUUACCGGUAUUGUUCUCUUUUCUCGUUAUCGUAUUCCGGCAUCCCCGUGAUCAAAUCACAAAGUGUCUGGCCAGACGAUGAUGGAUACUGUAACACCGAGAGGGCCCAGAGAUAUCUCUCCAUCGUCGGAGGAGCAAAUCCCAAUCUUGAGCUAUCAAGUUACUUGACACACUUUUCCAUGAACCCGUAAGCCGCCGUAAUAGCCACCCAUUUACGGAUGACGUUUAACAAACCCCAAAGUUCAUGAAGCAAGCAUGAAGAAACUCGAUACUCUCAUGGUCUAACUAAUCAUGCAAACGUUUACCAUCUCUGUGUUAUGUACCAAUAAACUUGUGACGAAUGAAUCUCAUAGCAUAACAUCAAUCCGGGUCGAUUCAACACAAAUGUUCUCUUAACAUUGUGCCCUCAAAUUUGCUGGCAUAGACAUGCCCAUGACCAGGAAAACAGAAUCAUCAUGCAACACUUGAGCUAGUCUUAGAGGCCAGACUAGGAAUACUUCUUACCGUUUAUUAUUCCACACGUGCAUUUGAGUCUUCCUCCGAGCCUCGUGGAUAUUGCAGACUCGAGAAUCAUUGCAGUUAUAGCAUGGAACAUAAACAUAAUUAUGAACUCGGAGAUAAAUAAUAUCAUUUAUUAUUGCCUCUAUGGCAUAUCUCCUACAGACUCCCACUUGCACUAGAGUCAAUAAUCUAGCUUAUGCUAAUGCACUUCACACCUGUGGCACACCGGUGUAAAUAUGCUUCGCUUGUGGUAUAGCCUGAUGUCCAACGGAUCUGACGACUUCAGUUCCGUGUGUAUCUUUGCAUGUCCUCGCUUUUUCACGUUUUCACAAAAUUCAUAUUUUGUGUGGACUUGGCUUUGUAUGUAUGUGAAUCACAGGUCGAACCUGGAUUCCUCAGACUGAGUUAUGGAGCAACUACCUGCAGUAGUGUCCCAUUGUCAAAAGCCAUCUUGGAACUAUACUAAGUUCAUGAAUGAACUAUAUGAUUCAACAUCUUCUUUGUCGCUUCUAAAGCGUCAACAUACUUAGCCCUUGUUAUAGAAUUCGCCACAGUAACUAGUUUGAACAAAUUCCAACUAACUGUGCCACCACAUUGUGUGUUACACAAAACCCUUAAUUUAAAUCGAAAAUCGCAUGGAGAAAAGAUGAAGACUCUAUCGAUGUAACAUUUUACAACGAACUCUUCAUGAUCUCUGCUUGCGAGAAAACCAUGUCAUCAGUACUUACUCUAGUACUCUGUGACAUCUUUCACUGUUGUCCCAUGAUCAGUAAUUUGAUCACUUUGGUAUCCAUACUCGCAACACCUUGGGAGUAUCGGACAUAUCUGGUUGUUUUACAUACCAUGGAAUACAUGAUUAAUCCAAACACAAAAGUGUGUGGAAUCUGCAUCAUGUAUUUUACUCAUCGGUGUUUUGGGACACCGAGUCUUGCAAAAACUCUUUCCAUGUGACUUUGGCAAGAAUCACUCCUUGGCGUUUUAAAUGCUAAAAGGUUUUAGCAUCUUGUCAAUAUGUAUUCAUUGCUUAGCCCCAUUAGGUAAAUCUAUCUCCAUAGAUCAUCAUUCCUAAUAUUGAGGCUAUUUAGCCUAAGCACUUCAUCGAAAAACUAUUUUCAGAUGAAGUCCUAAUUUGUGUCAAGAAAUUUAUUUCCAAUUACCAAUGUGCCAAGCACAUAAGGUUUUUAGAAAUAUUAUUACGCUCCCACUUACUUUCUUGAAUUACAAGCAUCUUCGUUACACAUUGAUGAAGUCAAAACCCCUUUGACCAUUUCAUCAAAACACGAAGAUUCCAACUCCAUUUUGCUCUCUUCUGUCCAUUGCUGGAACCCUGAAGUUUGCAUACCUACUAGCAUCCUCUGGAUCGAAAAAUUACUUUGGACUGUAUCAUAAACAAGUCCUAGCUUUCAUUUCCAUCAGAUGGAAAUCCUUUUAUCAUCCAUGUUUCAUAUCUCAUGAUUGAAAUAUGUAUUAAUUGCUAGUUCAACCCGAACCGACUUUAAGCAUCGCUACGAUGAAAACAACCUCAUCGUAUUAUUUCAACAAGUCGAGCUUUAUGGAUAAAACAUUUUAUCCGUAUCAGUUUUAAGUUCCAUAAAUAUUCGUUAGACUCUAAGUCUUCCGAAAGGUGUAUCAAGGUUUUAAUCUUGAAUCACUUAUAUGGAAACUAACUCGGGUUGUAUUGGCAUUUAGCCAAUUCCGGAGUCAGGGCCCAUCAACGCUUCCUUGUGUAUCGUAGGUAUAAUGUUGUCUAACAACAAUAUCUCGUUUGCGCACCUGAGAGGUUUGCACGAGCCUUGCCUACGUGGUUCAGCUGCAAGUUCAACCGAAGUUCAUACAUUUUAUUGUAGAGACUUCUGUAUCAGUCGCAGUAGGAAACUCUGGAAUUUCUUCCAAGGUCUCUUUCCUUUGAUCUGAUGAAGAUACUGUUUAUCUCGUCGAGUUGCACUAUUCUCCCACUCACCUUUAAAAGCACACCGUUUCGCGGCAAAACUAUUUGCCUCGGUAUAGUGAGGGAGGAAUAGCCAACAUUUUGGUAUAACCUACAAAGUAGCACAUGUCUGAUUUGGAAUAGGUUUGUAACCUUUUACACAAGCCCCAUAUUCCAAAUGUUAAGAAAAGAUAUAACAUGGUUGGGCGUACCAUACCAUGGCUUCAUUUCAACAGACCCGAUGUAGCUCUUUUCAGUGUAAAAGCCGCAGUCUCUAAAGCAUCACUUUAAAAGGGAUAAUGGCAAAUUUAUUUAUGUCAUCUUUGACCUUACCAUGUCAUAAAUGUUUUGAUUACAUCUCCACGGACUUUCCACUUGUAGUGGUGUUCCGGGAGGCGCAAGUUUAUGAAACCCCUUUCACAACUCAUCAGACAUUCGCUAACAUGUAACUCACAUAUUCCUUUGUGCAAUCAAAUUGCAGAAACAUAAUUUUCUUGUUACAAUAACUUCUACUUCAUUUUUGAGAACCUUUCGAAUGAUUUCAAAAGAUCCAGACUUACGUCUCAUCAAGUAAAUAUCCAUAUAUCUACUUGAGUCAUUUCUGAAGAUAAAUAAAUCCACCACUAACAACACUUAUCGGACUACACACAUCAAAUGUAUGAUCACUAAUAAGUUUGUUGUUCGUUCCUUAUGGCCUGUGAACGGUAUUUUAAUCACUUCACUUUUCGGAGGAAAGUUGCAAGUGUCAGAUGAUUCAAAAUCAAAAAGACUUCAAAAUCCAUCAUAAUGGAAUUUUCCAUGCGGGUUUCUCCAAUGUGACCAAAUGUAGUGCCACACUUGUGUGGUAUUCUUUUAGUCUUGCGACAUUUAGCGUCAGUGUUAUGGAUGUAUCAUAUUACCCUCAAUAUUCAUAACAUACGUCCCAUCGAUGAUGGAAGUAUGGCCCUUAUGUUAUUCAUAAUACUUAACAACAAUUGUUGUUUUUAUGAACAACUCUUUUGCAACAAACAUUGUGCAAUGGGCUAGAGUGUAUGAAACUGUAAAAUGAAUUAUGAAAGUAAACCCAGAGGUAUUGUAUUAUUAUCAAUAUUCAUAACAUACAUCUCAUUCAUAAUGAAAGUAUGGCCCUUGUGUUAUUCAUAACAUCGAACAUAAAAAGUUCUCUUAUGAACAACCUUCUUGCAAGAUGCCUUAUGCAAUGGGAUAGAGUUUGUAAAACUCUAAAUGAAUGAUGAAAAUAAAUACAGACGGCAAUACACCGAUGGAAGGUAUAGUAACAUUUACUAUGUUCCCUGUGUAUACCUUAACCUCAUUUCUAGCUAGUCUUUCAGGCCAUAGUAGUUCUUACAUCGAGUUGCAACAAAAUGCAAUCGAGCGGGCAUUUUUGUGAUGAACUCACAAUACCCAAGAAUUAGUGAUUAACAUGUUUAACCAUAAUUCGCAAGAACUAUAUCUUUGACCAGCCUUCUAUACAUCAAAAACUUGUAUGACAUUCAUACAUGAGCUGGAUAUUCCAGUCUUCUUUCCUUUUGUUUUUAUACUUCUAGCAGUUUAACUUUUAGUAUUUCUCCUACUCUCAGAAGAAGCACCCAACUUAAGAGUGGCAUUAGCCCCGGACUUCCUAGGCGUGUAAAUCAUACUAACACCCUUUGGACACUUCCUUUCUCUUUAAGUUGUUGUUUUAUUCACCUUUCAUUAUAUGACAGGCGUUCUUCUGGAUCCCUUUCCCAACAGUCAAAUGCAUAGUAAACACUAUUACUAAUACUUGCAAACAAACAUUGCUUUGUUUGUAUCUGAAAAUAAUUUUCAGUUCCAUGAAUAUCAUAUAACUAUCCCAACUUUCGAAGUUUGGGUUUCAUGGAAGCAAACAUAUUCCACUUGACCGUAAUAGAAUUCUAGCUUUUGGAUCAAAGGACGAGAGUCACAUGAUCCAUAGCAUUAGCGGGAGGAUACGGAAAGCAUGCGAUAGGACAAAGUCCUUCUCGGCACUUUUGAGGACAAUCCUCAUAUUACGGUACCAAUCGUAAAGUUUUAACCAGAUAUUUAACAGCUAUUCAAUUUUAACAGGGAAGGUGGAAAAGCGAGCCAUUAUUCUACAACUAUUUUGCAUAUAACACUUAGACAAUGUUCAUAAUUAAUUGCACUAAGAAUUAAACAUGUUAAUUCAACAGUGCGCUCCCACUCAAAUCAAUAUCUCUCAAAAUUGAUUGUGAGUGAUACAAGACCCACAUUUCAAUUGUUCGCCAUUGGUGUAACACCACUGAUGACGAAAAAUCUCAACCGGUAGGCCAACUUGCCAAUCACAUCUCUAUGUGACUCUUGUUCAUCUUUCGAUGCGUGUGUUCCGAGCUCAUGACGGUCAUGCCUGAACGUCAAGACAACCAAGUGAUCUCGCUGCGAGGUCUCAACUCACCCGCCUCACACUUCUCUAAUCGUUCGUACCCGUGUGACACGGCGCACCCCGAAAAGAUAGGUGCCGUGACGGUGCUACACUUGGGAGAACACUAACUACUUGGUAUUUUAAGUGAGAGAUCACCCUAAUAAAAGCGACUACCGCGCAAUCAAGAAGGGUGCAUCAUAAGGGAUAAACAUCUUAGGCAAUUCAUAAUAGCAUGAUAUCGUAUAGCCCCUUCUGACGGAGAAGUCUUUCAUUUCUUCGUCUUCGGCAUUCGCGUCGGUGUUCACCUUCGCGAAGAUUGCUACCACCUUGUCGAUGCACCAGAUAAUAUUGCUAUCUCUAUAGCUAACAAAAUAAUGCAUUACAACAAGGUUGACACGCAGGUCAUUAAAGUGCAAUCAUAUGGCUCCAACCAUCAUGCCGAAUCAUGACACGCAGGUCAUGUUAAUCAAAUUACAUCAUAUAGUCAUCUCAUACAUAAUCGAUUUAGUAUGAGCACUGCUAUACCACAUCAUAUGCACAUCCUGCAAAACCAAGUUAGACGCCUCUAAUCGGUUAAUGCAAAAUUUAUUUUACGUGGCUUCUAAGGUUUUGACUUAAACCACAGCGACCAACGUUUUAUCAUCAAGUAUGAUUAUUCAAAUUGCUAGAUUAACAUCUCGGGGAGUAUGAAACACAGGAUAAUUAAAUCUCGAGCCCCAUACUAAACUUCGUCAUACGCAUGACCCCCGUGCAGAUCAUAACUGCAAUGCCCUUUCAUCUGCGAAUUUCAUCUUUCUUUUGACUACGACAGAACCCAAAGAACUGAUAGCACUUCCAUGAUCAAUCAGGAUCACGGAUUGCCAGAACUUUGUCAAAUUCCACCAUGCUGUCUCGAGAUUGAGCAAACGCAAAUUCUAGGGAAGCAACAAGAACCUCGGGUAACAGAUUUCAUCUGUCACCCGCAUAAAUAAUUUUCAGCAAUAGAUCUCAUCUACUACCUAAUUAUAUUAUGCAAUACCCAUACAUCUCCAUGUAUUCUAGAUCGAAAACCUGCAUCUACGCAUAACCUGGCUCUAAUACCACUGAAGGGGAACGCGACAGAAAACAAAAAAUUUCCAACCUACGCACCAGCCCAGGACCACUAUGGAGACUGCAUACAUGGUUUGAUCUUUUUCGUUACCGACUCGUAGCGCAGCGGGAAGUAGAGUCGAUGACGAUCGGCGGUGCAGAUCCCCGCAGCUAGGAUUUACAACCUCCCAACUGCGAGGAUGUAUACCCUCAUCUGCUCCUCAGACAGCCCUCCGGGAGGCGGUCGAACAGCCCCCCAGACGGUGUCGCGGACAGCCCUUCGGGAGGACCUUCGAAACUCGAACGGUCACUCGGAAAGCCCUUCGGGAGGACCUUCGAAACUCGGACGGUCACACGGACAGCCCUUCAGGAGGCACUCACGAACUAAGACCGAAACUACGAUCUCUCUACAGAGUUGCACACAUACGGUGUCAUCUAUCCGGCAGGGCUUCGCCGUCCAGAACUAGUUCCUGCCGGAACCCAGACAGCCUUACGGCUCUACGAAACUCUUUUCGUGGGAGGGAGAGAAGAAGCCAGAUAAUGCAUGGCAUGUGUAUGAGAGCAAGGGAUGAGUGUGGAGGGCUGCCCCUCCACCUCUAUUUAUAGGAAAUCCCAAGGGGGUAGGGUAGUUUCACAAAAAACCCAAAAUGCACAUGAAUGAAGUCCUUCCACAAGGACCUAGGAGUGAAACCAAGGAACAAGAGGGUCCCCAAGGGGGGAUACCCCAUGUGGCCGGCCACACCCGCAUGAGGGGCCCAAAAAUGGCUCCUAUCCAUCCAUGUCAUCCCCAAGAUCUUUUGGAGCAAAGCCCCAAAAGGUGGCUUUCCAUAAAGUAACCAUAAAGCUGAUUUUCACUAUUCAUGACGACAUUUUUCAGCGUCUGAUCGAACUGAAAAUAUUUAUGUGGGCUAAGAACAUUUCCAGUACCCACUAAAAUGAUUUUCAACGCGUUCCAAAACAAUUCCGGUUUUAGUGAUUUUCAUCUGCGAAACGCAUCUGAAGUGGCUCCGGCAGCUCCGGAACAUUUCCGGUUUUUAUCUCAGAAAAUUCCAAAAAGCUUCCAGAAUGAUUCUGGCAUCCUCCAAGAAUUAUCAGGCAUGUGCCGAAACCAAUUUGACUUAAUGGUGUAUCCCGAAACAACUUUUCGGUAUCAUCGAAACUUAUCCGAUGACCUCUCUCUGCGGUACGAUUCCGCUGUCCGAAACUUUUCGGUGUCCGAAACUUUUUCGGUGAUUUUCUCUCAGACUCCCUGUCUAGUAUUCAGCAGAUAGAUGACCCUUAAGCGUGUGACCCUAUAGGAUCUGUGAAGUAUAGACAUGACCCGGAACCCCUUCCGAUCAAAUAUCAACAUCGGAGCCGUGGACACCCAUAUUGACCCCUAUACCCACACGAAUAAAUAUUCGAGUGAACCUCCAGUUGCCGUGUGCUAUUCCCGUUGCUUCGCGAUAUGUUACAAAUACCCGAGGUGAGACAUGUUGGCAUUCCCGUGGAUCAACAACUUGUCCACUAUGCUAGUUACCUCGUUACCGGUAUUGUUCUCUUUUCUCGUUAUCGUAUUCCGGCAUCCCCGUGAUCAAAUCACAAAGUGUCUGGCCAGACGAUGAUGGAUACCGUAACACCGAGAGGGCCCAGAGAUAUCUCUCCAUCGUCGGAGGAGCAAAUCCCAAUCUUGAGCUAUCAAGUUACUUGACACACUUUUCCAUGAACCCGUAAGCCGCCGUAAUAACCACCCAUUUAUGGAUGACGUUUAACAAACCCCAAAGUUCAUGAAGCAAGCAUGAAGAAACUCGAUACUCUCAUGGUCUAAGGAAUCAUGCAAACGUUUACCAUCUCUGUGUUAUGUACCAAUAAACUUGUGACGAAUGAAUCUCAUAGCAUAACAUCAAUCGGGGUCGAUUCAACACAAAUGUUCUCUUAACAUUGUGCCCUCAAAGUUGCUGGCAUAGACAUGCCCAUGACCAGGAAAACAGAAUCAUCAUGCAACACUUGAGCUAGUCUUAGAGGCCAGACUAGGAAUACUUCUUACCCUUUAUUAUUCCACACGUGCAUUUGAGUCUUCCUCCGAGCCUCGUGGAUAUUGCAGACUCGAGAAUCAUUGCAGUUAUAGCAUGGAACAUAAACAUAAUUAUGAACUCGGAGAUAAAUAAUAUCAUUUAUUAUUGCCUCUAGGGCAUAUCUCCUACAAUUAGGAUGCUUGGGUCAGCCUUGACUUUGAAGGGAGGAAUUUCAUGAAACUUUUCAUAAUCUUCAGACAUGUCUGUCUUGCCCUCCACUCCCACGAUGUCCCUUUUUCCUGAAAGAACUAUGUGGCGCUUUGGCUCAUUGUAUGAUGUAUUCGCUUCCUUAUCUUUUCUUUUUCUUGAUCUGGUAGACAUGUCCUUCACAUAGAUAACAUGUGCCACAUCAUUGGCUAGGACGAACGGUUCGUCAGUGUACCCAAGUUUGUUCAAAUCCACUGUUGUCAUUCCGUACUGUGGGUCUACCUGUACCCCGCCUCCUGACAGAUUGACCCAUUUGCACUUAAACAAAGGGAUCUUAAAAUCAUGUCCGUAGUCAAGUUCCCAUAUGUCCACUAUGUAACCAUAAUAUGUGUCCUUUCCCCUCUCGGUUGCUGCAUCACAGCGGACACCGCUGUUUUGGUUGGUGCUCUUUUGAUCUUGGGCGAUCGUGUAAAAUGUAUUCCCAUUUAUCUCGUAUCCUUUGUAAGUCAAUACAGUCAAAGAUGGUCCCCUGGACAACGAGUACAGCUCAUCACAAACAGUGUUGUCACCUCUGAGACGUGUUUCCAACCAACUGUUGAAAGUCCUGAUGUGUUCACAUGUAAUCCAUUCGUCGCACCACUCCGGGUGUUUGGAGUGCAGACUGUUCUUCUGUUCAUCGACAUACGGGGUCACCAAGGUAGAGUUCUGUAGAACUGUGUAGUGUGCUUGAGACCAAGAAUAUCCGUCCCUGCAUAUUAUUGAGUCCCCUCCAAGCGUGCCUUUUCCAGUCAGCCUCCCCUCAUACCACGAUUUAGGGAGACUUAUCUUCUUCUGGCCAGGAAUGAAGUCAACACAAAACCCAAUGACAUCCUCUGUUUGAUGGGCCAUGGAGAUGCUUCCUUUUGGCCUAGCGCGGUUACGGACAUAUUUCUUUAGGACUCCCAUGAACCUCUCAAAGGGGAACAUAUUGUGUAGAAAUACGGGCCCCAGAAUGACAGUCUCGUCGACUAGAUGAACUAGGACGUGCGUCAUGAUAUUGAAGAAGGAUGGUGGGAACACCAGCUCGAAACUGACAAGACAUUGCGCCACAUCACUCCUUAGCCUUGGUAUGAUUUCUAGAUCGAUCACCUUCUGAGAGAUUGCACUGAGGAAUGCACAUAGCUUCACAAUGGCUAAUCGGAUGUUUUCCGGUAGAAGCCCCCUCAAUGCAACCGGAAGCAGUUGCGUCAUAAUCACAUGGCAGUCAUGAGACUUUAGGUUCUGGAACUUUUUCUCUGGCAUAUUUAUUAUUCCCUUUAUAUUCGAUGAGAAGCCAGUCGGGGCCUUCAUACUGAGCAUGCAUUCAAAGAAGAUUUCUUUCUCUUCUAUCUUAAGAGCGUAGCUGGCAGGACCUUCAUACUGCUUCAGAGGCAUGUCGUCUUUUUCGUGCAAACGUUGUAGGUCCUCCCGUGCCUCAGGGGUAUCUUUUGUCUUCCCAUACACGCCCAAGAAGCCUAGCAGGUUCACGCAAAGGUUCUUCGUCACGUGCAUCACGUCGAUUGAAGAGCGGACCUGUAGCUCUUUCCAGUAGGGUAGGUCCCAAAAUAUAGAUUUCUUCUUCCACAUGGGUGCGUGUCCCUCAGCGUCAUUCGGAACAGCUAGUCCGCCGGGACCCUUUCCAAAGAUUACGUGUAAAUCAUUGACCAUAGCAAGUACGUGAUCACCGGUACGCAUGGCGGGCUUCUUCCGGUGAUCUGCCUCGCCUUUGAAAUGCUUGCCUUUCUUUCGACAUUGAUGGUUGGCCGGAAGAAAUCGACGAUGGCCCAGGUACACAUUCUUCCUGCAUUUGUCUAGGUAUAUACUUUCAGUGUCAUCUAAACAGUGCGUGCAUGCGUGGUAUCCCUUGUUUGUCUGUCCUGAAAGGUUACUGAGAGCGGGCCAAUCGUUGAUGGUUACAAACAGCAACGCGUGCAGGUUAAAUUCCCCCUAUUUGUGCUCAUCCCACGUACGUACACCGUUUCCAUUCCACAGCGGUAAAUGUUCUUCAACUAAUGGCCUUAGGUACACAUCAAUGUCGUUCCCGGUUUGCUUAGGGCCUUGGAUGAGAACUGGCAUCAUAAUGAACUUCCGCUUCAUGCACAUCCAAGGAGGAAGGUUAUACAUACAUAGAGUCACGGGCCAGGUGCUGUGAUUGCUGCUCUGCUCCCCGAAGGGAUUAAUGCCAUCCGCGCUUAAACCAAACCAUACGUUCCUUGGGUCACCUGCAAACUCAGCCCAGUACUUUCUCUCGAUUUUUCUCCACUGCGACCCGUCAGCGGGUGCUCUCAACUUCCCGUCUUUCUUACGGUCCUCACUGUGCCAUCGCAUCAACUUGGCAUGCUCUUCGUUUCUGAACAUACGUUUCAACCGUGGUAUUAUAGGAGCAUACCACAUCACCUUCGCAGGAACCCUCUUCCUGGGGGGCUCGCCGUCAACAUCACCAGGGUCAUCUCGUCUGAUCUUAUACCGCAAUGCACCGCAUACCGGGCAUGCGUUCAGAUCCUUGUACGCACCGUGGUAGAGGAUGCAGUCAUUAGGGCAUGCAUGUAUCUUCUGCACCUCCAAUCCUAGAGGGCAUACGACCUUCUUUGCUGCGUAUGUACUAUCGGGCAAUUCGUUAUCCUUUGGAAGCUUCUUCUUCAAUAUUUUCAAUAGCUUCUCAAAUCCUUUGUCAGGCACAGCAUUCUCUGCCUUCCACUGCAGCAAUUCCAGUACAGUACCGAGCUUUGUGUUGCCAUCUUCGCAAUUGGGGUACAACCCUUUUUUGUGAUCCUCUAACAUGCGAUCGAACUUCAGCUUCUCCUUUUGACUUUCGCAUUGCGUCCUUGCAUCGACAAUGACCCGGCGGAGAUCAUCAUCAUCGGGCACUGGUUCCUCUUGAUCUUCAGCAGCUUCCCCCGUUGCAGCAUCAUUGGGCACAUCGUCUGGUUCCUCUUGAUCUUCAGUAGCUUCCCCCGUUCCAGCAUCACCGUAUUCAGGGGGCACAUAGUUGUCAUCGUCCUCUUCUUCUUCGUCGUCUUCCAUCAUAACCCCUAUUUCUCCGUGCCUCGUCCAAACAUUAUAGUGUCGCAUGAAACCCUUGUAAAGCAGGUGGGUGUGAAGGAUUUUUCAGUCAGAGUAAGACUUCGUAUUCCCACAUGUAGGGCAUGGACAACACAUAAAACCAUUCUGCUUGUUUGCCUCAGCCACUUCGAGAAAAUCAUGCACACCCUUAAUGUACUCGGAGGUGUGUCUGUCACCGUACAUCCAUUGCUGGUUCAUCUGCGUGCAUUCCGCUAAACCUAGACAGAUCUCGAGGAAAAUGGAGCUUUGAGGUCGAGCUUCGAGAGGAGAAAGCUUAACUACUAUGGCUCGGGCAUUUCAUCGAACACCUCAUGUGCAUAGGAGGUGAGCUAGAGCACCACAAAGCCCUCCCCUCGCUGGCCAGAGAAAAACAGAGCACUGGAGUGCUCUGCUCGCGGGCGAGGGGUAUAUAUAGGCACCUCAUUGGUCCCGGUUCGUGGCAUGAACCGGGACUAAAGGGCAGUCUAUGGUCCCGGUUCAAGCCACCAACCGGGACCAAUGGUGGUGGGCCAGGAGCGAGGCCCAUUGGUCCUGGUUCGUCCCACCAACCGGGACCAAAGGGGCCAGACGAACCGGGACCAAUGCCCCCACGAGGCCCGGCAGGCCCCUGGCCUCACGAACCGGGACCAAUGCUAACAUUAGUCCCGGUUCGUGACUUAACCGGGACUAAUGUGAAUGUUGCCCUGUGACCAAAGCCCUGUUUUCUACUAGUGCCUUUGCCUUGAAAAAAAAGUAGGCCAAGUCUGAAAUUUCAGCCGAGUCAAACUGCACACUGGAGUGUUGUUUGCCUUGGGUUGGCCAUCAGUUCCGUUGCCAACGUUUGACAUUCAUCAGAUUUUACUUGCUAUAACAAUUCUAAUUAUUAAGAAAAAACUCCAGCUAGCUUUACCCACCAUUGUAGACUGAUAAAAACUCUUAGUUUCAUCGUCAAAUUCGUAGGCAGGGAACAGCCACAUGGGUGAUUGCACUCACUAAAGCUAAAUGUAGUAUGAAACAAGAACAACAUAGGCAUAACCACUGCCAAGUGAAACUCUGUAGAAUUAUUUUAUUUUUGAUGCAAAGGGCAGGACCACUGUAGAUUGUCAUUUGUCACGUUGUAGGGGUAAAGCAAUAACAUCUGCGAGAACUCCACGCUAUUGAUAUUGCAAUCACGAGGUCACUUCGAAUUAAUAGUGCCAAUCUGAUUAAGACUCCGCCGAAUCUGAACAGACGAGGCAAAGGUUCAGACAACAAAGAUGAUCUAAAUCAAACAACUUGUAAACACUAGCUGUUCUUGCUGUUCAGAGCAGUGAAUCAGGCUCUUAUCUGCGAACGUACUAAUUAUGCAGACUUAUUUAGAAACAAAAACACGAGAUUAAUUUAUAGAUGUGGAGAUGACCAAAGCAAAACUAUUGAAUAACUAUAUCGAAAUAAAAACAGACAAGAGUCGUGCUUCACUUCAAUGUAUUAUGGAACAAUCCAAAGGUAAACUGUAUCGAUAUGAUCUCCAAACUGAAACAACAACCUGACAAUAAUUGAUGCGAUCUACUAGUGUCGGUUUAGUUAAUUCACCAGGCCUGGAAAAUAGACGAUGCAUAAGCUACUCAGAGUUUGCACGAUCAUUUGUCUUACUUAUCUGUUAUGUUUAAACAACAGCUAGAACAGACAAGACAAUGAAUCACCGCUAAAUCCAUUUGAUUAGUUUUCUAUCAAGCACAAGAAAAAUGGCCACUACUAGAUCGUGUAAACAAGAAUUACCAGUUGCACUGAUGAACUAUCAAGCAUUAACCAAGAACUACGACAACUUUUAAGGGAAAGCAAAGUUUACCACUUCAUAUUGUCCGCGAAAACAACAGCGACGGUGAGAAGUUGGUUUAUAUGUGUGUCCCGAACAACAAGGGCUUGCGUUGUUUCACACAAACCCUCUGAAGCUGCAACGAUUUGAUGUCCAUUGAGAAAUAUUCACAGAGUGUAUUCACUUUAGAUGCAUCUCGCUGGGCUCCUGUCCUUGUCAAGAGCAAGUACCUCUCAGUUGAAGCAUCGAUAUGAUACUGGUAGCCAGAAUCUAGUGAGAUUGUCUUCUCCAUCUGCCACUGGUUGGUACUCUCACCUUUGUUUCGCGCAAUGGCAUAGCUGAGAUUAGACGCAUUUUCACCACAAAAACCAAACACCCCAACCCUGCCUUCCCCUGCCUCCACAAAGGCUAGACCUUUUGGGCUCCAGUUUCCGGGUGGGAGGUGAGCAAUGGAGAAGUCCAUCCUCUUGAUGUCAAGCACCAGCAACUUUUUCCUCCCGACCUUCAUCCAGUCCCAAUAGAAGCAGCCAUAAGCAUAAUGGCGCCUAAGAUAAAAAGGGACGAUUUGUGACAUGAUGGCCUAGUUGCCCCUGGAACGGAAUAAAUCACUCCAACAAUUGGAUGCAGCAGCUCGCCAUUGUCCGGUGCUUGAAGAGAAGACGAAGGCAGCCAGCCUAGUUUGGCAAGAUGCCAUCAAGAUCAAUUUGAAUGAUGUCUCUGCUGCCGCUGCCUCAUCCUCACCGAGGGGAACGAGGAAUGUCUCGCACCCAGGCCUGCGUGAGACAGAGUGCUCCACAGAAGCUGCUAGGUCCUCAGGUACCGGGGGAAGUAGGAUGUACCGCCGGUGCAAGGGGUCGCACACCGCGAGCUCCCGGAAGACUGGGGGCUCCUCGCCCUUUUCAGGCUCGCUAUGGAGAAGAACGCGGCCGUCACGGCUGUCCUGGACGAUCCAGCGGCAGUGGGUGGGGAGGAAGGAGAAGGAGAAGUCUGCGGCGAGGGCGAGCUUGCGGGCGGCGGGCGCACACGGGUGAGGGCGGUACGUAGGGCUGGAUAGAACCCGCCGCGGUCGAGAAAGCCGAGGAGUGGCGGUUGGUGGAGGCAGCGGAAGCAGCGGAGGAAGGAGCGGUCGCUGGCGAGCCGGCAGAAGGAGACGCAGGCCGCAGAGGUCCGGGCGAGGUCGGCCGAGUCGGGCAG
rnacentral:lncRNA from 1 species